GAGUGAGGUCUACUACCCCGUGGAGAUGUGGAAAAUUGUAAUCAGCCUGGCAUUUGGUUUGUUUUGGCUCCGUGGUGACAAAUAAUGGGUGGAAACGCAGGAUAUUCCCAGCUUGACGAUUCCGUGUAGUUCGUGAAUAAUUGCUACCAGAUUUUAUUCUUUUCGUGCUGUAUCUAGUUUGGUGGUUCUCCGUUGAUCAUCUUUUGAUGUCCAUGCAUCAAUUAAUUCAUAAACUUUUGAAUUGUUGCCAACGUUUGGAUGUUGCAUAUGUGUUGUCUGCUUCCUUCGUCUCAGGGACAUAAGCACUUUCAGUGUUACCGAGUUUACCUCGUCAACCUGUUUUAGUUCUGCAAAUAAUCAUGGGUCUUCUCCUCCAUCGCUCGGGCUUGUUGCCGACGUAGACGAAGAGGAAAACAGUCGAAUGCACGAAGAUUAACGUCAUUACGUGUACUUUUAACUGAAAUCACCGUAAAUACCUAGCGACGUUUCAAUCCAGAUGAUCUCCGAUCUUGUCUUUUCUCGAGACGAAUACGAUCUUGUCGUUUGGUACCAUAGGGCAUUCUAGAGUACGCUUAUAUUCCUACGGCGAGAUAUCUCAAUUUUCGACUCAUUUCACCACUCUACCCUACUUCCUCUCAUCAAAGUCUCCAUGUAAAUCGUGUGGUCCCCACGUCGUUGCUCCCACAGCCAAUGGCAUUGCAAGUUGCAGGCCGCGAGAUAAGCUUUCAAACCUCGAUCGCACACUCGCUGCACAAGAUAAGCUAGCCACAUCGUUCCUUCUAGAAACGCACUGGAGGGCAUCGCAUUACACACCCUCGCACCUCACACCACUCCUCCAUCCACCUUUUUGCCAGCGUGAGAGCUUCUUCUUUCUUGCGAGGGAGAGAGGGUAGCGAGCAACCAGGGAGCUAGGCGUCAAUGGCGACCAUAGCCACGAUGACCAUGCUCAAGCCCGCCAAGAUCACGGCCAGGUCGGCGCCUUCGUCGCCGUCGUCCAGCGCCAAGGUGGCGUCGCCGAGCAUCUCGCUGCGCAGCCUGCAGAAGAACGCGGCCAAGAAGGGAGCCCUGGCCGUGUCGCCGGCGGCCGCGGCCAUGGCGAGCGCCUUCUUCACCUCGCUGGCCUCGUCGGACGCGGCGAUGGCGUCGCAGCGGAUCGCGGACGUGGCGGCGGCGGCCCCCGCGGACGACAACCGGGGCCUGCUCCUGCUCUUCGUGGUGGCGCCCGCGCUCGGGUGGGUGCUCUACAACAUCCUCCAGCCGGCGCUGAACCAGCUCAACAAGAUGCGGUCCGAGAAGGCGCUCGUCGCCGGGCUCGGCAUCGGCGCCGCCGCGGCCGCCGGCCUGGCCGCCGUGCCGGAGCCGGCCUCCGCUGCCGUGCAGGAGCUGGCCGCGCUGGCGGCGGUCGCGCCGGCCGACGACAACCGGGGCCUGCUGCUGCUCUUCGUGGUGGCGCCCGCCCUCGGCUGGGUGCUCUACAACAUCCUGCAGCCGGCGCUGAACCAGCUCAACAAAAUGCGAUCCAACUGAGCGCGCGUACGUCGUCGUCGUGGCAUCGCAUGCGGUCCGGCCGAGUGGGUUCGUAUGUGUGUGUUCGUCUAUUAAGAGUCGUGGUAGUAGCGUGGAACGUGGUGUGAGUGCCCGCUUGCAUACUCUCUAAUCUUGUUCCUUCCAUUGAUCAAAUGCAGUACAGCUCUUCUUGUUUUCUCUUCUGCUACGUUCAGUGCAAUGUUCUCUUCUGCUACGUUCCAUGCUGGAUUGGGUUUUUAGGGCAACUCUAACCAAUCCUGUAAAAAUAAAGGACGAUCCUUAGCAAAUGUUUUUACUUCAGAUUUGACCGGUGCUAGCCGAUCCACAAUAUAUAACGAGUAAAGUUACUUUUUGUUUACGUAUUUCGUCGAACAUUUGUCAUGCGUGUCCGCGAUGAUGGUGACCACAUCGAAAACGCUGGCGUCCGCCAUCGUGAUCGUGCUCGGCGAGGAUGGAAGGCGGCGUUGGGGUCACUCUAGAGCCACCCGUGGAAGCCCUCGACCGUCUCCCUCGGCCAUCUCCCGUGCACGUCUUCCUGGCCACGUUCCUCCCGGCCGUCGCGGCCGUUCUGUACCUCAUGAUGCGGCCGUGCUCUGUGUACCUCGUCAACUACUCCUGCUUCCACACCAACCCCAGCCACCGCGUCUCCCUCGACACAUUCCUCGAGCACGCCAAGCUCGUCAUCUUCAUCGAGGGGGCCUUCAUUGACGAGCGCAACGUCCGUCUCAUGACGCGGCUGCUGGAGCGGUUCGGGCUCGGGAAGGAGACGUGCGUGCCCCCGGCGCACCACUUCGUCCUGCCGUACCGGAACUUGGAGGCCUCAGUGAGGAGGUGGAGUUCAUCAUCCUUUCCGCCAUUGACGAUCUUCUUGCCAAGACGGGCAUCAGCCCCGACGCCAUUGACUUCCUCGUCGUCAACUGCAGCCUCUUCGUGCCCAUCCCAUUCUUCACCGACAUGAUCAUCCACAAGUACAAGAUCCGCAACGACAUCUGCUAUGUGCACCUGUCCGGGAUGGGGUGCAGCGCGGGGGUGGUCGUUAGGUUGAGUUCUUCGUCUACGAGGUCACCAGGAGGUCACCGUCGAGGUCGUUGGCGAGGCCGGAGGUCGCCGCCAUCGACAAGGAGCUUCACGCAAAUCGCCGGCCAGCCACAAGAAGGCCUUUGCGUGAAGACAAUUUAUCCUCGGCCGCCAUCAGACGGAGUAUAUUUAGGGAUUCGAUAGGCUAAGAGCAUUACUAGUGGAACCCUCGAACCCUCAAAUCCUUAAAGCAGUUUUAAGGGUUGAGAAGUGCCACUUUUUGACAUUUUUAAAGGUUGAAAAACAGGGGCAAAUACUAGAACCCUUAAACCCAACCCUUAAACUGCUUUAAGGAUUAGAUUUGAGGAUUCUAGUCUUUGCCUCGACCCCAACCUUUAAAUCUAUCAUUUGACAUCUUAUAAUUUAUGACAACAAGAACACAAUCAACUUCCAAACAAACUACCAAAUGACAAUCAUUGAUGCAUGGUUUAAUAGUUUACAUCACAAAAUCAUCAUCUUCCUCUUCUCAUCGGCACCAUCACCAAAAAGUUGCACCUCGGCGCCAUCUCCUAGACCACAAGCGAGCUCCAUCAAGCAUCUCCAUCGGCACCGGUGGAGUCGUACACACCGCCAUCACCACAACUACUCAUCGGAGUGUCACCUCAAAAAGUAGAGGACGCAACACGGAACAUCCUCUUCCUCUCUGCGAUGUCCUCCUUGGUGUCCUUCCGCCAUUGCAAUUGGUCUUGAUCCAUGUUCUUCUUGGACAUCAUAAUGUGCUCUUUCUCUUCCACCAUGAGUUCUUUGCAUACCUUUGCGAUGGAUGAACCCACUAUUCUUCGGCUUGAUCCUACAAUAGACGUCCUCGAUCCUUUGCCAAUACCGUUUACCGGCUUGAUCGGUGUCGGUGGUUGCAUCCAUUCCCACAGCUGCCCAAGCACGAACCAAGAGGACAUCUUCCGGCUCGGUGUAGUUUGUCGACCGCGCGUGUGGGCGGGAAGCGGCGGUGAAUGCCUCCUCCUCUAUCUCGGCCACCUCCUCCUCGUCAUCCCCUUCAUCCUCCUCAUCUUCCUCCUUUUCCUCCAAGUCGUCACCAACCCUAAAGGGGUCUAGGGGCGGAGCUCCGAGGUCCACCUCCGCGUUUUGGAGGAGGUCCAUGAACGAGGAUGGGGUUGCCAUUUCCUCGAACACCUCGUGCGCGGCGGGAGGAGGUUCGGCGACGGCGGCGGGCGGGGCCGCGGGCUUGUUCCGCGGCACGGGCUUCUUCCGCGGCUUGGUCACGGCCGGGGACGAGCCGGCGACCUUGGAGGCCGCCCCUCGCGGCCCAUGAGAGGCCGCCUUCGGCCGGCUCUUCUUGGUGGCCGGGGCGGGCGCCGGGGAGGCGGCGAGGGCGGGCGCCGGGNNNNNNNNNNNNNNNNNNNNNNNNNNNNNNNNNNNNNNNNNNNNNNNNNNNNNNNNNNNNNNNNNNNNNNNNNNNNNNNNNNNNNNNNNNNNNNNNNNNNNNNNNNNNNNNNNNNNNNNNNNNNNNNNNNNNNNNNNNNNNNNNNNNNNNNNNNNNNNNNNNNNNNNNNNNNNNNNNNNNNNNNNNNNNNNNNNNNNNNNNNNNNNNNNNNNNNNNNNNNNNNNNNNNNNNNNNNNNNNNNNNNNNNNNNNNNNNNNNNNNNNNNNNNNNNNNNNNNNNNNNNNNNNNNNNNNNNNNNNNNNNNNNNNNNNNNNNNNNNNNNNNNNNNNNNNNNNNNNNNNNNNNNNNNNNNNNNNNNNNNNNNNNNNNNNNNNNNNNNNNNNNNNNNNNNNNNNNNNNNNNNNNNNNNNNNNNNNNNNNNNNNNGGCCCUCCAUGGCCGGCGCAGCAGGAGGCGGCGGGAGGCGGCGGGAGGAGGAGGCCGGGAGGAGGAGGCAGUUGGCUCCCGCGUGAGAGAGUAGGAGAAGUGCGGGUUGGGGGGAGAUUUUCCUCUCAACCCCUACUUCUUCAGGUUGCAAAGUGGUUUGAGGGUUGGACCUUUAAAUUUUUUUUACGGGUUUGAGGGUUUAGAGGUUCUAGUCUACGGCGUUUUUUCGGUGAAAACUGUAAAAAAAACGGUUAUUUUUAGGGGUUUGAGGGUGCGGCGUAAGAAAAGAAAACCAAAUUUAUUCUUCCUUACGGUCGAAUAAGGGAUCGGUUAGAAUCGCCCUUAGGAGGUGCUUUGACUAUAGUCACGAUGUGCCAAGAAACUUUCAAAAGCCUAGGCAAACCGCAAGUCACAGAGUGUUUAGGAUGUCAUCUUUUUCUUCCAAACCGCUAAUACUCCCGUUCUGGUUUAUUAGUCUUUAUUGUAUUUUGUGUCAAUUUUUAACUAUAGAUUUAACUAACAAAAUGUUUAUGCAUGUUAUAAAAAAUUAUAUCAUUGAAAACUAUGUUUAAAUAUGAAUCUAACGAUAUAAUUUUUGUUGGCAUGCAUUAACAUUUAUUUAUUAAAUCUUUGAUCAAACUUUGACACAAAUUAUAAAGAUGACCAAUAAACCAGGACCAAGGUAGUAUAUCACUAGAGGAUUCAUUAUCGCUCUAGUGGAGUUUAGCCGUUUGUGGCACCAGAUCUGUGGUUUGGCUUCGAGCAAUCUUCUAGCCUCACUGUACUACACGGUCCAUGCUACUAGUACCGUCCCUGCAUCACAGGGCAGAGACACUGGACACAUGAAACUAAAAGAUCGGCACUUUCGAGGAAAUCGAUAGCCGUGACACAGUACUACUACACGCUAGUGGGUUAGUCAAGGUCAAUGGUAUUCGCGUUGCACUGUGUGCGUCUCGGCUUUUGCAUCGCUCGCUCGCUAGCCCGCGCGUGUCAGCCGUCCAGUGAGGCCCAUUUCCCCGUCCUCCUCCAUCUCCCCGAAACUGUCAGGUCCGGUUUGACAGAUGCCAAGCCGCAGCUCUCGUGAACAAGACGGUGGCCAAGCCUUCAGCUUUCCUUCUCUUUUUUAUCAGCUAUCCUUCUUUCUUCUGCCGGGGGUGAAAUGGUAAAUUGAUCUUAGGGCAUCUUCAACUCUGACCAACAUAUUUGCUCCCGCAUCCAUCUGCACACAGGGAGGCCUGUUAUUCGCACACAACCACGUCAUCAUGUACCUCCAACGCCGAGGAUGAUGCACUGCAGCUCACGUCUAAGAGAGACCUGUCCGGAAGCACGGUACGCAAGCAAUCCGACAAAUGCUUUUGGAGAUCCGAAACCCCACACGCCCGAGAGAUACCUUGUCUUGACGCGCAGCGGCUAUGAACUGCCCUAGGUCGGUUCGCACGCCCCUAAAGCCUCGAGGAUCGCUGCCCUUCAAUACGACGAACGAGCGAAGAAUGAGAGAGAAAGAACAAGGGAGAGAUAUAAGAUUUAGGGUAAUAAGUAGACGGGUUUUGUCGUUUAUGUGUUGUUGUUCAAUCGGCCGGCACCUCCCGUCUAUACGAAAAAGGGUUUCCCCCCGCUUUGUAUUACAAAGCAACCAUCCGAUACAACCAACGAUAGGUGCUGGGGCGGAAGCAGCACAAUCACGCCCAAAAGAAAAGAAAGAGAAAAAAGAAAAGAAACAAAUGCCGAUAAAGGCGGAUCGACAAAAAACGACGAAGCCUCGCGACCGCUGCGUCCACCGGAAAUCGCCCCCCCCAAGCUCCGAGACUCCUAAGCGCCGGUACCAAUCAACACCUCCAAGAAGAGACGCGACGAUGACGACGCUGCUGCCAAGGGUUUCCCCUGGUACGCGGUGAGGAGAGAGGAAGGGUAGCCCCGCCGCCCUCCAGAAAGGUCCGGUGGUACCCUCAGGCGCCACCGCAUCGGUGUCGGCCAAGCCAACAGGGAUUUCUCCCGAUGACAUCCUCCACCUCAGGCACUCCAGGGCUCGCCACCAAACCGACCACCACCCUGCGCCAACACGGACACGAAGCUUCCCACGCUGUCUCACCACGGCACCGCGAAGAUGGCCUGCAUAACGAAGAAGGGGAGCAGGGACUAGGGCAGUAGCACCGUCAGCAUACUAGAGGGCCCCACCUCCACCGUCCACGACGGUAGCCGACCGGACGCCAAAGCAGGAGCCUACCAGGCCCGUGGCCCCACAGGCCCGGCCGGGCCCUUAGAGGCCCGGACAGCUCCCGCCUCCGCGCCGCAGCUGGCACGCCGUCGGCGCCGCUGCUGGCAUGCCGUCGGCGCCGCUGCCCCCCGUCCGAGUUGCUCCUCCUCANNNNNNNNNNNNNNNNNNNNNNNNNNNNNNNNNNNNNNNNNNNNNNNNNNNNNNNNNNNNNNNNNNNNNNNNNNNNNNNNNNNNNNNNNNNNNNNNNNNNNNNNNNNNNNNNNNNNNNNNNNNNNNNNNNNNNNNNNNNNNNNNNNNNNNNNNNNNNNNNNNNNNNNNNNNNNNNNNNNNNNNNNNNNNNNNNNNNNNNNNNNNNNNNNNNNNNNNNNNNNNNNNNNNNNNNNNNNNNNNNNNNNNNNNNNNNNNNNNNNNNNNNNNNNNNNNNNNNNNNNNNNNNNNNNNNNNNNNNNNNNNNNNNNNNNNNNNNNNNNNNNNNNNNNNNNNNNNNNNNNNNNNNNNNNNNNNNNNNNNNNNNNNNNNNNNNNNNNNNNNNNNNNNNNNNNNNNNNNNNNNNNNNNNNNNNNNNNNNNNNNNNNNNNNNNNNNNNNNNNNNNNNNNNNNNNNNNNNNNNNNNNNNNNNNNNNNNNNNNNNNNNNNNNNNNNNNNNNNNNNNNNNNNNNNNNNNNNNNNNNNNNNNNNNNNNNNNNNNNNNNNNNNNNNNNNNNNNNNNNNNNNNNNNNNNNNNNNNNNNNNNNNNNNNNNNNNNNNNNNNNNNNNNNNNNNNNNNNNNNNNNNNNNNNNNNNNNNNNNNNNNNNNNNNNNNNNNNNNNNNNNNNNNNNNNNNNNNNNNNNNUCUCGCCGCCAAGGGGCCGCACCACCACCGCGCGGGCCACCGGCCACCGCUGCCGGGACGCCGGGCCGUCAUCAAGCCGAGGAGCACCGCCGCCGCCCCUAUGCACCGGGUAGGGAGCCGUGCGUGCGGGGACAGGCAGGCCCCGCCGCCGCCAACACCACCCGGCCAAGCGCCGGGGGCGCCCGUCGGUGGCGGCAGAGGGAAAGAGAAACGAGGGCGGCCGAAGAGGGGGCGGGGUUCGCGCCGCCGCGGCCACUGAUAAUCCCCAAGUGCAGGGAAUCAUCGUAGCAAUUCCCAAAGGUGGAAGUGAUAAGUAUGGAGUGUCGAACCCACAAGGAGCUAAAGGUAAGAUCAAUAUUCUCUCAAGUCCUAUCUGCCACUGAUACGACUCUACGUACACCGAAAGUUUGCUUCCAACUAGAAACGAGAAAUAAAACUACGUUGUGGGUAUGAAGAGGAUAACUUUGCAUGAUAUCGGAGAGUUAAAAUAUAAAAGUAGGUGCUGUUAUCAUAAAGUUAGAAUAUAUUACUAAAUAUUAUAAAUAGCGAGUGUGGAAUAAUGAUGGAUCGGUGUGCGGAAUUGUCCUAGGCAAUUGUCACUAAAAAAAGACACUUCCGUGAUGAUACGUGUUUGUCACAGUAGGUCGCAUUUUUUGUCAUGCAUGUACAUCGAUGACAAAUUUAUGACAGAAUCAAGAUAGUCAUACCUGUGCUGUCGUAGAAGUGUUCCAUGACAUUACCAAAAUUAUCAUCACGGAAGUGUCCACUUCCAUGACAAUAAAUCGUGCGUCACAGAAGUGCUUUCGUCAAGGGCGACCGACAGAUGGCAUCCACCGUAACGAACGCCGUUAAGCUAUCGGGUCCGUCUUUGGAUCCUAUAACCCGUUAACAGCCCCGACCAAUGGGGAUUUUCCACGUGUAAAAUCAUCAUUGGCUGGAGGAAACAUGUGUCGGCUCACCGUUGGGACAGAUGUCAUCCACUCAUUGGACACAAAGCGCCUAUGAUACAUUGACACGUGGCACGGCCCAAUAGAGGCCCAUUCCUGUGAAAAGGCCGACCCGUUUGACUUGGUCAAAAGGUGGCGGGCCGGCCCACGGCAAGCCUGUUAACGGCCUGUUCGCAUAUAGCCCAUUUACAGCCCGCUAACCCAGGGCCCGUUUACGGCCUAACCGAAUUAGGCCCAGUAGCGUCAUCUGGGCUGUCCAAUAUAAUUCCAGCCCGUUUUAACUUCCGGCCCAUGUAUGGCCCAUGACGUCUUUUGGCCCAUAUGAGGCCCUUAUUACUCUCGGCCCAUUAACGGCCCGUGGUAAAACUGGCCCGUAAUGAACAGUGUAUCACUUUAUACCCGUUAACGGCCCGUGGUGGAACUGGCCCGUAAUGAACCGUGUAUCACUUUAUACCCGUUAACGGCCCGUGGUGGAACUGGCCCGUAAUGAACCGUGUAUCACUUUAUACCCAUUAACGGCCCGUGGUGGAACUGGCCCGUAAUGAACAGUGUAUCACUUUAUACCCAUUAACGGCCCAUUAUUCCGUUGGGCCGUUUCCAGCCCAUGUUAUCUUUCGGCCUUCUUGGGGCCCAUUUAUUCUUGGGCUCAUUUCCACAUUCGUUUACUUACGGCCCGUUACUGUCAUUUUCUGCUUGUGGGCCAAAUUCAGCCCGUGGUUACAGUCGACCCGUUUGUGGCCCGUUAAUACGUUGGGCCGUUUUCAUAGCGUCAUCAAAUACGGCCGAUUAACGACGACCCGUUAUGGUCGGCCCAUGAACGGACGAUUCCAACUCUAGCCCGUUUACGGCCAUAAAGCGGUAUGUUAUUGGCCCAUGUUUGGCCAAUCGAUCAUACGACCCAUAGAAGGCCCAUUGAUAAUACGGCCCGUAGAAGGCCCAUUGAUGAUACGGCUCGUAGAAGGCCCAUUGUUUCUACGCCACGUAGAAGGCCCAUUGUUUCUAAAGCCCGUAGAAGGCCCAGCGUCACUACAGUAAAUAUGUAGCCCAUGGUUAUUGUGGCCUAGUUUAAAAAAAAGGUUAUUGCGGCCACUAGCAAACCGCGGAAAAAGAACAGCACUGACUACAAGCAAACAAAUAAACAAGACAACAAGGAAAUAAAUAACCAAGCAACUUACGCUAGGCUAUCACGGCUAUUACACAUAUUACAUCCACUGGGCAUCGAAGUUCGCCACCAGUGCAAAUAUAGGGAACAAAGCAGCAUAUCAUAUACACUAGUUGUCAAAGUUGGCGACCAGUGUAAAUAAACGCCGCAGCAAAACAUGUCCAGAACUGAAACCACUUCAGAAGAUCUCAAGAAACAAUAUCCUGGGUACCCAUAAUGCUGGCAAGAUGCUUAGCAAGCUUAUGAACUUUGUCUUGUUUGGCGCUUAAAUCCUCCAGCGCUUGCUGUUGCACCAGAAAGUAUGCAUCUGAAUUCUGCAAGGACUUCCUCAGUCCUUCAGCUUCCUGUCGAAACACAUCUGAUCGAUGUCUUUCAACUUGAAGCUGAGACUCAAGAAGACAAACUGAUUCAGGCAGCGAGUUCGAAGAGCUUGUGCCAGCGGUAGUGGCCAGUAACUCGAACACUACAUCAAGACAGGACUUCUGGGUUCUCUCACUGUCGUCAAGGUAGUUUUUAUCAGCUUUCUUGGACACCAACAGGGAUGUCUCACUAUCUUGAACCUUAUCUGCAUUACUUCCUUCACCAUUGCAUAACGGGGUAUUGUUCUCCAAUAUUUUGUCCGCAUUCUAAAAGAGAAACAAGCAGACACAUCACAGAUUUACCAUGUUGUAUAUGAAACUCAUUUUGGUAAAUCAGUUCAGUAGUAAAGUGCACAAGAUAACAACAUGAAACAAACAUAUAUCUAUGUACCAUGGUCACUUUAUGGUCUAUAUCAUUCUAGUUUUUGGUGCCAAAUCAAGAUAGACACACAGUUCAAAUAAUAUUUGUUCAAGACAAAGCAGAAUAGACAGAAUAUAAGUGUGGGAAACUAUAGAGACACUUGUAAUGUGCAUGACAUGAGAACAUAACUGUUUAUUCAAUUGAAACUGGAAUCAAUAUAGAGCAAGUUACAACAGCAAACCAGUUAAAGAAACAAGUUUAAAACAUACCUGUUGCACCAUUGGAGUUUCAAUUCCAUCCUUCAAAUUUGAAAAUAGUUUGUCUGAGUAAAUACAGUGAUGCAAGAGCAAAGGAGUAUGAACCAUAGCUACAGAACCUGACCUGAGAACAAUUCUUCUUCUCCUUUAAGCGUUGAGUUGGGAUUCGGAGUGGUGGUCCUCGUGCUUUGGGCACUGCAGUUCCCUUACUAACUGCUCGUGUUUGGGUGCUCUGUGGUGGAGACGGUGCUGUGUCAACUGGAACUGGGUUACUAUCUGCUAGGGUUGGGGUUAGAAGGGGUGUAGUUGGUUCUCUGUCCAACUGGGUAGGGGUACAAUCUGCGAGAGUCUGGGUUAUGUGUGGUGGGGCUGGUUCUUGGGCAAGUACAACCGUGGUUCUAUCUGCAUCAACUAGUAGCACUAUCUUUUCCGAAGACCGUGUUGUUACUCCCUUAGAUACUGCCAUCACCCUCUCCAAUUCAAAUGGCUGAUAAACAAGAAAAGUAAUUGAAUGUACAUACAUUGUAUGAUAGACAGGUGCAAUGGAUAGUGGGGAAUAAAAGAGGGCAUGAAAUAAUUCACAUUUAUGUUGUCUAACCAAACAUGAUAGCAUGACACAAUUUCACAUAUAUGAUGGCUAACUAAACAGGAUAGCAUGAUACAAUUUCAUAUUAUGAUGGCUAACUAAAAAAGAUGGAAAGACAUAGUUCAAAAUAUGAUGACUAUGUAAACAGGAUGGCAUGAUAUAACUAUAUAAUGUGUUUAUUAAAUAGGUUGGCAUGCCAUAAUUCACGUACAUGCCGCCUAUGGAAACAUGAUAGCAUGAUAUAAUUCCUGGAUAGAAUGACAUAAUUCAAAAUAUGAUGACUGUAAACACUAAACAAGAUGAGAUGAUAUAACUAUAUGAUGUGUUUAUUAAAUGGGUUGCCAUGCCAUAAUUCAGACAGAUGUUGUGUAUGUAAACAUGAUGGCAUGAUAUAAUUCAAAUAUAUGAUUUAUAUAGUAAGCAAGUAAGCAGAUGGCAAUCCAUAUAUGAUGUAAAAACUAAGCAAUGCAAGACAACAUGCAUGACAUGGGUAAUAUAACCCUGUCAAGUUUGAGCAUAGACCUCAGGGGGGAAAUAGGACUGGUCAUUAGUCUCUGAAUCCUCCUCUGAGGAGCUCUCUGUAUCCAGCAAGAUGUCUGCUUCAGCAGGUAGCAUUGUCUGCUCUGAAUACCUUGUUUUCACUCCAUAUACCUCCAUCACCGCUUCAAAUGGCUGAUGCACAGGAAGAGUAGUUGAAUAUACAAACGUUGUCAACAAAUGCAACACGUAAUACAAAAAAAUGAUAGCAUGAUAUAAUUCACAUACAUGAUGAUUGGCUCAACAGCAUGGCAUUGCAUAAUUCACAUAUAUAAUGCCUUUGCAACAAGAUAGCAUUGCAUAAUUCACAUAUAGAAUGUCUUGCAACAAGAUGGCAAUGCAUAAUUCACAUAUAUGGUAGACACUAAACAGGUGGCAUUCACACAAAGCAUGUCUAAACUAAUCAAAUGACAUCGCAAUGCAAGACACCAUACGCACGAUAUGAGCAACAUAACCCUGUCAAGUUAACUAGAGCAUACACCUCGGGGGGGGCAUAGGACUGGUCAUCUGUCUCUGAAUCCUCCUCUGAGGAGCUAUCCGUAACCAGCGAGAUAUGCGCUUCGUCAGAUAGCAUAGUCUACUCUGAAGACCUUGUUUUCACUCCAGAAUUUUCCAUCAUCAUACUGAUGCACACGAAGAGUAGUUGAAUGUACUAACAUUGUUGACAAAUGUAAUACGUAAUGAAAAAAGGAUGGCCUGAUAUAAUUCACAUAUAGAUGACUGGCUAAGCAGGAUGGCAUUGCAAAAUUCACAUAUAUGAUGCCUGGAUAAACAAGAUGGCAUUGCAUAAUUCACAUAAACGAUGAAUAAACUAAACAGAUGUCAUUCACACAAAGCAUGUCUAAAACUAAGCAGUUGACAUAUUUGAUGUAUAAAGGAAGCAAUGCAAGGCACCAUAUGCAUGAUAUAACCAACAUCAGCAUGCCAAGUUAGAGCGAAGACCUCAUGGGGUAAAUAGGAGUGGUCUUCUGCUUCUGAAUCCCCCUCAGAACAGUUAUCUUCCUCUUGAUUACGAUCCAAAAUGGGUGGAGGGGGGCUGCCUUUGCGCCACCAUGGAGCGACAUCUGCAUGAAAUUUUAUUGCCACGCAAGGCUCGUCUCUUUUGCUCUACAUGUUCAGUUCCAUUGUGUACAAUAACUGACAUGCAUAGGAAUAAAACAUAGUGAGAUUAUGUAAGGAGUGCAUGCACAAAUCCAGAGUGAUGGUAGCAAACUGUGGAUAAAACCCAAAACCAAUGAUAGCAGGCAGAUAAUAGCUUUAGUUAAAAAAUACAGAUAAUGGCUCCUUUAAUGUUUGUUUGCACCCAACAUGAAACUCAUAGUAGACACCCGAGAUUAACCAGAUAGUAGACAGACAGUACUGAUUGCUGCCCCAAUAUGUACCCCACAACCAUUUAAAAACUCAAGUUUCAGCAUAAGUUUGGACCUGACUCGAAGUUUAAUAGGUGAACACGACGAUAAAGUAGCAUGUCAUCAUAUUAAGCGAUGCAUAAUGUAAGCAGACACGGAAGAGUCUGACCUCUCUUGCGUGCAGUCCUCAAGGUCAUCUGCUCAGUUGAUGAUGGUAAUGCAGUUGUCGUGGCUGCCGACGGCGGGGAAGAAGAUCUGAGGCGGCGAAAGACAGUCUGGAGAGCGGAUCCCUGCUGUGGUGAACCCUUCCGUCGUUGGAGCAGCUGAGCUGGGGUGGAACAUAGCACCGCAGGAGUAGGACAAACCACAGAAGGUUUUCUUUGACACAUAUCUAUAACAGAAGUAAUUGUGUAAGGGCUUGUUUGAAUUUGAGGAUUCUAACAAUGCAGGGAUAGGAAAUAGGCAGGAAUAGGAUAGGAAUGCACGUGCAAAACAGAGAAUUUAAAAACACAGGAUUUCUGCCAAUCUGGGUGUUUGGUUCACAAGAAUUGGAAGAUCACAGGAUGCAAAGAAGUAUGGUGAGAUUAAGUCAAACCACAAGAAGUGUACAACCUCUUUGGCGAAGCCAUGUCGAUCUCAACGUGAUUGGGUUGGCCGGUGAGGAUGCUCCGGCUGACUUGGCUGUCGGAGGAGGGGAAGAAGAUCUUAGGCGUCUGGAGAUGGAGCCUGAGGUACUGCUCCGCUGUGAUGGAGGGUUUCGUCGUUGGAGCAGCUCUGGUGAGUUGUACGACGCCGAGGCUGAAGCAGGAUAAGAGAGACAACGUUAACCUGAGUGGAAUUCUAAUAGCAUCUCCAAUAGAUGACGUAAAAUACAUAACCACAAAGUGCAAGAUGUAUACAUCAGCCGCUCAUCUCUGAACUUAACUGUCGAAACUGAACUUAACCGUCGAAACUGAAUUUUGCUGUCGAAACUGAAUUUUACUGUCGAAACUGAACGCACUAGAGGUGAGGCUACACGUCAGUCGACUGACUUUUUCAUCUCUGGUCAGUCGAUUUUGCAGCCGUUGGAUACGAAAUCAAGGGCCUGCAGUUCAUCUUCAACCUCCNNNNNNNNNNNNNNNNNNNNNNNNNNNNNNNNNNNNNNNNNNNNNNNNNNNNNNNNNNNNNNNNNNNNNNNNNNNNNNNNNNNNNNNNNNNNNNNNNNNNNNNNNNNNNNNNNNNNNNNNNNNNNNNNNNNNNNNNNNNNNNNNNNNNNNNNNNNNNNNNNNNNNNNNNNNNNNNNNNNNNNNNNNNNNNNNNNNNNNNNNNNNNNNNNNNNNNNNNNNNNNNNNNNNNNNNNNNNNNNNNNNNNNNNNNNNNNNNNNNNNNNNNNNNNNNNNNNNNNNNNNNNNNNNNNNNNNNNNNNNNNNNNNNNNNNNNNNNNNNNNNNNNNNNNNNNNNNNNNNNNNNNNNNNNNNNNNNNNNNNNNNNNNNNNNNNNNNNNNNNNNNNNNNNNNNNNNNNNNNNNNNNNNNNNNNNNNNNNNNNNNNNNNNNNNNNNNNNNNNNNNNNNNNNNNNNNNNNNNNNNNNNNNNNNNNNNNNNNNNNNNNNNNNNNNNNNNNNNNNNNNNNNNNNNNNNNNNNNNNNNNNNNNNNNNNNNNNNNNNNNNNNNNNNNNNNNNNNNNNNNNNNNNNNNNNNNNNNNNNNNNNNNNNNNNNNNNNNNNNNNNNNNNNNNNNNNNNNNNNNNNNNNNNNNNNNNNNNNNNNNNNNNNNNNNNNNNNNNNNNNNNNNNNNNNNCGACCCAAAAGUCGAUUCAGUCGACUGAAGUGUGGCUAAAUCGGAGCAGCAUCGCAAGCAAGAGCAAGAGCGAGAGCAGCAGCGCAAGCAAGAGCAAGAGCAGACCAGGCAGGGGACCGAGAGCAAGAGCAGAGCAGCAGCGCGAGUGAGAGCUAAAGCAGCAGCAGCUCCUACUGAUGUGGACGUCGCCGCCGAGGGAGCGACGCCGUGGAGGAAGUGGCCGGCGACGCCGCGGUGGAUGGAGCCGCGUCGUGUCGGCUCGGGACCGAGCGCCGGCAGCACCGUGAGAUCGAAGCAAGAAGAAAAUGCGGUGAUUAGUGUACAACCUCUUUGGUGGCGCCGAUUAGGCCGCAGCUUCAUCCGAGGAAACGGUGAUGCUGAUACUCUUCCGGUGGUGUAGGUGAAGACGGCGGUGUGGGAAUGGAGGUGGCGCGAAAGACGAGGGGAACGUCGGGGCAGCUCCUUGGAGGUGGAGGACAGGGUGGCUGAACCGGCGGGACGACCAGAUCGACGACGGAUCCUCAUCCGGUACGGUGGAUGAGGGACGUCGAGGUGUUGCUAUGGACGACGUCGUCGGGGAAGAGGCUCCGGCUGGGUGGCGGACGGAGGAGGGUGUGGGGCUUCGCGGGUUUUCCCGGCCUCGGUGUAUGAAUGGGUGGGCGGAUGGGAUGGGAGUGGGGAACCAUGGCUUAGGGACGCGCUUGUCCGAAAUGUGGGGUAAGUUACGAAAGUACCCCCACCGAUUUGAGGCAGUUCUUUCGGUUCAGGGGUAUCACGGGCAUUUCGCGUGUCAGGAUUUCACAGGAGGUGGGAGUUUUCGCGCGCGUUGUAAUUUUGGAAUAGCAAGGCGCGGGUUGAGAUGGAGGGAGUUGUCGGAGCACAACGAGACAAAGAUAUAUCUUAAAUAUUUCGGGCUAACAAGGCGCGGGUUGAAGAGGCGGGAGUUUCGCAGCACGAUAGACAGAGACGCUAGCUUGAAAUUUCGGCAUAAGAAGGCGCGACUUGAAAUUUCGGGAGAACAAGCUUAACGUGUACCCAAAAGAAAAAAAGACAAUUUAGACUAGUAUGAUAUACUACGUACAAUGUGUUUAACACGCACAACACACACAGACACCAUUUAGACUAGUAAGGUACACGUGCAUUGCACGCAUGAGAUUUGGCAACCAAAUUAUGAAUAAAUACCACAAUAUAGCAUGUAAGCUUUGAGUCAUAUAUGCAUGAUGUAGAUGUUUGUUUAAUUCAUAUAGUUCAUUUCAUUCAAAAUCAUCUAGUUUUUAUAAGAAAGCUAAUCUAUUUUAAGAUUCAUCGAAUUGUGCGUUGUAAGGCAUAAAGUAAAAACAAAUCAUGUAGAAAACAUUUGGGCAAUUCUGAUACGGAAGAUUCUAGAACAAAGAAGAAGUGCUUGUGUUUUGAGGUUUGUGCAUUAUGCUUAAGUUCAACCAUAGAGUCUUCUAGAUUGUACAUGUGGCAAAAUCUGGUGAAAUCUAGAUGAUAUCCAACGGCCAGUAGUGCUCAAAUUUGCCAGCUCUGCACCAUCGGAUUGGCCUCAUCCAACGACCAUCUUUCAAAGUUAAAGUUAUCCGCACACUAUAUAAAAAAAUAUAAAAAAUAUAUAUAGGGGUAUAGAUAUAGAUAUGUGAUGCGAAAGUCACCCAUCAUCUCCAAUUAGAAUAGUUUGUCCAUGCACGGAUGCAGUGUGGCCAAACGAUGUCUGCCAUCGGUAUCUCAAAUUCAAACCAAUCAGACCUUGUUCAAUGUGUAUACAUUGCAACAUGCUCGUUUCCAAACCACACCGCGCAGAUCUCCGUUAUAUUCAUGCAUGCAUGGGUUUCAAACAUCAUGAUCUCUUAUUCAAAUAUUUGAAUUCAACUUUACAUUGAUUAUGACCUCACCUAGUCUUUUACACCCACACAUUGGUCUUCUCUUUAUAAUUGUACCACUAACUUUCUCUCGUGCAUGCAUGCACACACACUACCAGUCGGCAUUAUCCAUCGCAUACAUGCAAUCUUUUUCUUCAGGUCGGUCUCCCAUGAAGGCACACACACACACACACAUAUCCCCCUCUCCAUCAUAUCGGGCAUUAUUUAUCUCUGACGUGCAUGCGCAACGAUGAAUGUUCCUCUAUGUGUGUGUGUGUGUGUGUGUGUAUAGCUAGGUCUUUCAUAGUUUUCCACAUAAACCGAUCAAUCUAUAUAUCUAGUGAGGUCUCACCCUCUUUCCCACGUCCACAUCGAUCAAUCUAUACCUCUAUAUAUAGGAUUACAUAUAUAGCUAAUACACCCACAUUAAUUAUAUAUCCAACGCCCCCUCUCAUCAUCCAUGCCUUCCGCUUCAUCUCUCAAACGCGCGCACAAUGGCCAAGACAGGGGGCAGCAAGGGCCCUGCCCCCCCUAACAUCACUAUAUAUCGAGGCUAAUAUGAAUGUGAUCAUUAGACAAUUGCUGGUAAAAAUGGUUUAAGUUGAUGAAUUGGCCCUCCUCGUAAAGGAUUAGCAAUGCUUGGCCCCCUAGCUCAUGGGACAUUUUUCAUGGCUCCGCCACUGCGCGCAACAGCGCACGUUCUCGCCCCCUCUCUCUAAAUAUCGAUCUCGCAGUUGUGCACUCCUUCAUAGUCUCCCUCCACUCGGCCCCUCGCACCAUCUUCUAGCCCCCACCGGAUUUUGCCACAUGUACAAUCUAGCAGACUCCAUGGUUGAACUUAAGCAUAAUGCACAAAUCUCAAAACAAAAGUGGUUCUCCUUUGUUCUAGAAUCUUCCGUAUCGUAACUGCCCAAACUUUUUUUCUAGUUGAAUUGCCAUUCUUUGUUUGUACUUUAUGCUUUACAACGCACAAUUCCAUGAAUCAUAAAAUAGAUUAAGGGCUUCUUUGAUUCAAAGGAUUCUCGAAGGAAUUUUGGAGGAUUCUAAUCCUUAGGAAUUUUUCCUAUCUUGGUUGUUUGAUUCGUAGGAUUGUAAACCAUAGGAAUUUUUUCAUAUGAUUCAUUUGCACUAGAUUUCAUAGGAAACAUCCCAUCCACUCAAACCACUUUGAAACAAUUCUGCGUUUUUUCUAUGCACAAUCAAACACUCGUACCAUCCUGUAGGAUUCAAGACGACAUUCCACUCUAAUCCCAUGUUCUUCCUAUUCCCGCGUUUUGGAAAUCCUACGAAUCAAAGAGGCCCUAGGUUUUUUUUAUAAAAACUAAUUGAUUUUGAAUGAGAUGAACUAUAAGAAUUAAACAAAGGUCUACAUCAGGCAUAUAUGACUCAGAGCUUACAUGCUACAGUGUGGUAUUUAUUCGUAAUUUGGUUGCAAAAUCUGACGCGUGCUAUGCACGUGUACCUUACUAGUACUUCGAGUAUGUGCAAAACACAAUGGCACGCUACACAGUGUCUCUCUUACAGUUCAUGAAGCCACGUGGGCACGUGGCACAUGUGGAGGCGUUGUCGCGACAUCCUUGUGUGGAUUGAUCACAGUGACGUGCUGGUGGUUCCAGAAGAAUGUACUCGUCCUCCCUGAGCCGCGCUGGCGGUACAUGCACGAAGCGAAGAUGUGCACGCACGCCACACACGCACUCAUUCCCUUGCACGCACACGUGGGUACACGGGCGGACGCAAUUUUGUACCAAGAUCCACCCCAUGUGAUAAUUUGACGCGUGUAAAGUCCUUCACUUCAUUGAUGGUCAAUUAAUACAGCGCAUGCAAAUUGAGUGGACGUGAGGGCGGAAGAAAGACAUUACUACUCCACUGCGCGCAUGCGAGUAGUUAAAUCAUGGGUUGCUAGUAGUACUUCCAUUGGUCUCCUUCGUAUUUUGUGCCAAUUUUUGACAGUAACAUAAUAUUUACGCAUCUGAGCAGUGCAGUCUACUUGAAAUUUAUGUUCCACUAAACUCAUCGGGAGCCGUUUCGGGCCUCGAAACCAAAAACCAUCAAUUAAUCUUUACCUUGUUCCCAUCACAUUCGAAAGUACUAGUGCUACAAUUAAGUGCAAGCCUGCUCACACCUACCAGUACGUACCAAACCUGAACGUGUUCCCACUAUGCAGGUUUUAGUACUAGUGCUAGUACUUAGGCUAUAAAAAGGGGAACUACCUAACCGAAAAUUACUCUACCUUCCUCCUCAUAAGUCCUGCUUCUUCGUCCGUCCUUGCCAUGGCCGAUGUGCAGAGCUCUAGGUCGAGAACUACUCGUAACAAGGGAGCGGCAACCAAGGUUGCAGAAAAAAAGAGAGGGCUCGCCGCCACGCAAAGACCUCGAAAGAUCUCUCACGGGCAGGCGAUGGCUCCCAGGAGCGCCCUAGACGCGGAGGCGAGCAUGCUGAGCUGGCGGCACUGGAGUCGUUAUCCCUCGACAGCAUGCCCGAUCAGCUCAAUAAGCACCUCAAUAAGCAGAAGGAGUUCAUCCAUGGCUUGGUGUAGCUGCUCAAGGAGAGCCUCGACGACAUGCCCGCUGAGCUCAAUGAGCAGGGGGAGUUGACCGCCGGCUUGGUGAUGCUGCUGAAGAAGAGCAUUGCCUCGGAGAAGAAGGCGACCGGCGAAAUCCUGCAACUACAGGAGGACAACGUGAAGCUCUGCCACGAGCUCGGCCUGCUGAAGGAGGAGAACGCCGGCUGGAAGAAGCUGCAUGAGAAUAGUAGUUCCUCGAUGAAGAUGUUGUAGGCCCUCGUCAUGGAACAGAAGGAGGAGUUGGCGAAGUUCCGCAUCGAGCACCCGGCUGCUGUCAAGGUACGUAAUGCGGCCGUGGAACAGAUGAUGAAGGCUCGCGUCGAGAAAUCCCGCGUCAUGGACACAAUGAUGAAGAUGGCGGAGGAGACGCGCAAGGAGAUGGAGGUCGUGGAGGCGAUCAAGAAGCAGUUACAACUCCGCGGCCAGCAACCCUUUAUGUAGUGAGAGCAGCGCCCCAAACUUGUGUGCGGCUUCCUUCUUUUUUUGGGGUGAUAAUCCUCCUUCUUCUUUUGCUCCUGUGUUUCUUAUUUUGCUUCGGCUGUUUCACCGCACGUGUCACCUUCUCUGCGAGGCAUGAAUAGAACAAUGCUAAAAAUGAGAUGACUAGCAAAUUAAAUCAUUCUUUAUCGCCAAUAGAACAAUGCCUCUUGCUAGUAAUAUAUAAUAAGAGUAGAGAGUAGAGGAUAUGGCACUGGGCUGCCGUGUUUCGUGCUCCUCCGUCGUACUCCAGUGGAAAACUUGAGUAUACCGCACGGUUCUUUGCUCCUCCUCAGGUCGUCGGCACAUUUAUACGAGCAGUCAAAUCACAAGGCCCCGCCUUCCAGCAGUAAUGAGCCGUCAAAUCACAAAGGCCCUUGCCCCUCGUGAAAAGGACCAAGCUAGACUGCCCGCCCUCUAGCCUUUUAAAAAAUGUAUACAUUUGUACAGUAGUAGUAUCGAUGGAUUGCGCCAUGGAGCAAAACUAUGCAUAUACUACUACGUACUACUAUAUGACACUACCCACUAUGAAGGUACUAGUAACAUAGACUAGUAACUGGUCUAUGUUACUCUCCACUAUGACCAGCCAAAGUCGAGGCGCGGAUACCAACGAGGGCCUGGUUGUGUGUAUACUUGGACAACUCACUCGACUGCAUGCGCACCAGGCAGACGAAGCUCGUGUCGUGUUGGUGCCGUGUGCGGCCCGCACAUUAACCAAAACCUCGCGCCUCAAUCUUAGCCUUCACGUUUAAAACAUCUCAAUCUCAAGGCCAAGGAGCAACGUGAAACCUAUGAUAGAGCCAACCGGAUGGUUGAGAACACUACAAUUCGUAGCUACAGAUGCGUGCGUGAGAGAGGAUGAGUGCGCGCGUGCAUCUCUUCUCAUAGUACAACUGUAUGUGGGUGGCAUCGGCCUAGGGAGCAGUGAUGGUGCGUGCGAGAAGUCCCGAGAGAUAGGUGUAAUGCGUGUGAAAAAAGACUAGUCUAUAGCUCGCCACGAGGCUAUUCCUGUCGAACGCCAAGCGUAAGAUAUGUAUCUGACGGUGCCAGAUUUUGCAAGUACACAGCAGUAUAAAAAGAACUAGUAGUACCAUGGCAUAUGCUACACCACGGCCAAGAAAACGUGCCGACGUUACGCCAUCCGGGAAUAGUGCCGCACUUCGAAACUAGAACCGUCAAUAAAUCUUGAGCGCGUCUCGUCACAUUCCAAAUUACUAGUACUACUACCAUGCUAUAUUUAAUUGCAAACCUGUUCACACUGAUCACAACCUAAACGGUUUCCCACCUAGGAGCGUAUUAGUAGUACUCGGUUAUAAAUACUACUAUGCUAAGAUGACUGCACAUUCCUCCUCAACUCCUCAUCCACAAGAAAUAAUCAAGCCAUAGCCAACGUGAGUUCUGGGUCGAGAGAUUUCCACCAGGGAGAGGUGAGCAUGGAAGAGGAAGCACGAGAGAUGUCCCACCUCGCCGCGAAAGCAGCCGACAUGUCCAGCCGUGCAGUAGUAGCAGCACAGAGGUCCCGCCGCGCCGCCGAAGCAGCACGGAGGUCCCGCCACGCCGUCGAUGUAGCAGACUGGUCCGGCCACGCCGCGGAUGCAGCAGAGAUGUCCCGCCGCGUCGCGGCGGCCUGGGAAAAUUUCUCGCGGGCAAGCGAGAACUCUUACAGGCGCAUGCAUGCAAUAGUCCAUAGCCAGAUGGAUCAGAUCUCCAGCUGGGCGAGGAUGCAGGACGAGGCUACCGGCGUCAUCCGGCAACUCGGGGAGGUUAAUGCGAAGCUCCGGGGCGAGCGCGACCGCUGAGGGCGAAGAUCGCCGGAAGGGCGAAGCAGGAGGAGGAGACCGCUGCCGUGUUGCAGAGGACGGGCGUCAUCAUCAAGAAACUUAUGGACGAGAAUGCCAUGCUCCGCAUCGAGCGCAACAGGCUGGUGGAGGAAUCCAUGGAUGCUGCCAAGCAGCGUAUUAAGGACAUGAAACUGAUGAAAGAGAUCAUCGCCCGUCGCGAGAACUAGUCUCCGCGACCUGCAGCGCAUAAAGAAAGUAGAGAUCAGCGAGCCAGAUCGUUGUAUGCGUCUUCCUUCUUCUUUUGCCCUUGUGUAUUUCGGGCGUAGCCGCAUGUGGGUUUUUUUAAUUAUCUUCCUAAUUAUGUAAGACAAUUAUUAUCCACUCUCGUCGUCCUUAUAUAUAUUCAUCAGUCUUGCUAUAAGUCGCAGUAGAUGUUAUAUAGGUCCGUCAGAUCUUACAUCAAGAUCCGUGCAAAAUUUUCCUUUUUCUCUCUUAAAUCUCAGUCGAGUGAGACAUUGCCACGCCAUUAAACAGAGGCUCGGGCGCCAUUAAUGGUACCUUGGGACGGAGGUGGACGGCAGAUGGAGGUCAAAGGGCUCUCCUCCCGAUAAGCACGUGCAGGGGUCAGAUCGCACGCCUCCCGUACUCAAAUAGCUACCCUGCACGGCGCCUCCUAGCUAAUAAAAAAAGGGGACGCGUGGCGGCACGUAAAUGGUAAAUAGAACGCCCACGGUUUCAAUAAUACUUGUGUUUCUGAUUGUAACGUGACAGCACUAGUUCCAAAAUGACUUUGUUGAUUGUUAAUGUGUGCGCCUUCGCAAAUCGGACAGCAAAAUUACCACAGCAUGUUGGUGCCAUGUCAUGGCACCAAGCCAAGUUUCAUGAUUUUCAUGCGUGUUUUGGAUUUACAGGAAUUAAAAAACCAAGUUUCUCAAUGUUUUCAGCGGAGCCAUGACGCCCAGAUGUUUGAAUUUCAUUCCCAUUUCUGGCAUGGGACCUAGAAAUUUACCCGAGGACACACAUGUGGUGUUUCAACCAGCUUUGGUACACUGGAGCAUGUGCUUGUAUUUAAAAUUUGAAUUAUGCACACAAAGGUGACACGUUCCCUCUCAGAACCACGAGCCUUCUUGAGAGAAGCUCCGGUUUGCAAGAAACUUAUACCAAAACAUGUUCCUAUUCUGCAUUUUUUUACCACAGCAUGGUAGUACCAUGACAUGACACCAUGCCAAGUUUCAUGAUUUUCAGGCGUGUUUUGGAUUUACAAGAAUUUUAAAACCAAGCUUCUCAAUGUUCUCGGCCGAACCAUGAUGCCCAGAUGUUUGAAUUUCAUUCCCAUUUCUUGCAUGGGACCUAGAAAUUCACCCGAGGACACACAUGUGAUUUUUCAGUCAACUUUGGUGCACGGGAGCAUGUGCUUGUAGUUCAAAUUUGAAUUAUGCACAUUAAAUGACCAGAAACUCAAUUAAUGUAUAAAAAAGGCCAAACGAACCGAGAAUAAUUCCAAAAUUUAAUAGGGCACUCAUAUAGUUCUAUGUUGCCUCUGUAAAGAAAAUCUGGCGGCAGGCAGCGUAUAUUGUUUCGCACACAAAGGUAUAAAGAAAUAAAGAAAUUAGCCCUAUUAAAUUCUUGGGUUCUUAUUAUUUAUGCCACUAGUUGUGUAUCACUACUCAGUUGUGCCAUUAGAAGUUACAACUACUCAAAAAUGCCAUCGAUCCGUGAGAUGCCUGCUCAAAAAUGCAAUUAGAUAUCUAAAAAAUGCCAUCGUUAAGUUAGAUGUUUGCUCAGAAAUGCCAUUAAACAUUGUUAUUUUCACGUCAAACCCCGUUGACCAUGUUACAUGACAAAAAUAAGCCGAUUCUCACAAUGAUAAGUUAAUGGUGUCCAGCACAACACACCCCUCAAAUAAAACUAAGCACCCUGGAAUUCUUUGACAAAACUAAGCACCCUGAAAUUCUUUGACAACUAAACUGCUGGCGAUAUGAUGUUGGCCAUAUAUAUUGUACGUAUAUAAUGUCAAGAAACGAGUGGUAGUACUAUACCAACUAAAAGAUGAAAUGUAUGAAAUAUAACGAGAAGAAACAUAACAUAGUUCUGCUGGGGGCCCAGCACAACACACCCCUCAAAUAAAACUAAGCACACCAGAAAUUAAACUAAGCAACUAAUCCGGUAGAGACCGCAUUAGAACCACCAUGAGCAACAACACUGCCACCUUACUCGGAGUCCUCGUCCACGUCCUCGACUUCGUCCUUGUCCCUCCUCCUCUUGAGCGAUACUUCUUUGCUUGAACCGCACACUUGGCUCUUGCUCUUCAUCCAACCCUUGUAGAUAUUGAAACAAAGGUAGCCAUCCAUUGCAGCUUAGUGGAUGUGGUCCGUAUCUAGUACAUUCCACUGCCAUGCAUGACGAUGAAACGUGUACGGCGGUUUCUCUAGUUUACCAUACGAAGGAUGAACCAUGGCUCCUGCCAGGGUUAGCAUUGAAGGCUGAUCAAGGGAGGGCACCAGCCCUUCCUUUUGGAGGUCGAAGGGGUCGCCUACAACGAGGCCUAUCCGACCCAGGAUUUCCUUGUCGUUCCUAAAGUCUACAGUAAUGAAUUUGACUCGGCCGCCCUUGAGGAACUUCUUAAAUUCCUCGCACUCAACGUCGGCAUGGCAUAUGUCGUAGACCAAGCAUAAGUCAUGCACGCAAACCUGGAUCACGGCGGGCUUCUUCUUCUCUGCCGCCUUUAGUUUCUUCUCGCUUCCCAGGACUGUGGUGUACUCAACAUCUAGCCCAGCGACCCACUCAUCAUUUGAGUUUUCGAACAUGCGUUUGAAGCGAGCAAGGCAUUCUUUCAUCGUUGCGGAAGAAUAGGUGUAGAUGACAUCGAACUCAUCGCCGGUGAUGGUCUAACCUUGUACUCACCGCCGAUCAUGGAGAUUUGGGACGCCAUGGAUUUGGGAGGAGGGUUAGUAUUAGUGGAUUUGCCGUAAUGUGAAAGGACGGGACGACUAGGAGCGGUUUAUCGAUUGUAAAAAUGUCGAGUGGGGGGGGGGGCGUGCGAAUGGCAGGGUAGUGGCUUGCCUGGUGGAUAAAUGGAUUCAUGCACAGUACUAUGGGGGCCCAAUUAGAUGUCAUGUCUACUCGACGCCCAAUUAAAUGGCUUUCGAUGUCAUGUCAAGCGUCGGGAAAAUUAUAGGUUCCCAUGAUAUGGGCUUCUGAGAGCCCUUGGAUCUGAGAUCGAACGGUUGCAUGGCAUGAUUCUAGACCUAUGGGUGAAUAUCCUAUCCUAGAGGGUUAUUCUGCAAAUUUUCAGCAACUUAGCAUGCGACCGUUCGAUCUCAGAUCCAAGGGCUGCCAGCAGCCCGUAUCAUGGUCGCGCCUACCACCAAACUAGUCUAUCAUCUAGGUACACGCGCUUAGCACCGUUUCUUCCUGGGGUCACUAAACUAGUCUCUCUCUUCUUAAUUAACUUGCCACAUCAGACUUUAUGCCUAUCUGGCGGGCUUAGCACCUGUAGUAUCAAGUACAAUAGUGGGCUAUAAGCCCGCUUUACAUGGCAUUUUUGCAUAUGUGGGGGAAAGAGGCAAGGAAAAAGUGGAGGAGUGGGCUCUCAAGCAAGAGCCAGCCUCUACAUGGUGGAGCAUCGGGAGAGGCACCUGUAUGGAGGUGGUCAGGAAUCGGGAGACUCAAGCCGGUCGUAGCGCCGCAGUUAAAAUGAUAAUGGCAAGUCAAAUCACCGGGCCCCACCUGUCCAGCAGUAACUGACUGUCAAAUCACACAUCCCUACGUUUGCAACAGCCUACUCCCUCAUCUUCUCGCAUCUCUGUCGAACCGACUAGGCGGAACUGCCCCGCCUACCGCGCAGGAAAAGCCCCGCCGUCGACUUUUAAAUAGUACAGUAUACUAAUUUUGUAUCCAUGGAUUGCGCGAUGGAGCAAAGCCUCAAGAAAACGGCGGUACACAUGUACGGAGUAUACAGCAUGCCCGUCGCGUUCGCGUCGCACCACAGACGGUCGGUCGGUCUGGCACGCCGCUCUCCGAAUGGAACGCGCGUCAUAUUGCGUUUGCACACACAUGUGGGACCGCAAUUGAGAACCGACCAUAGGCACACUCCCUGGCCCCGCAAGUCGGCUGAGUUAAUAGAAGCACAUACUCCACCUUGGUACCUGGACGAUCCCUACAAGACACGAAAGAUCAGUUCGUCCAUGCAUGUGACCAGACUCCAGCAGACACGCCUGGAUGUCUAUCGUCUACAUAUCGUGCAGGCUGUGUAGUACAGGGCUGUAGUUCUGGUGAGAAAUCUAAAAAAAGGUUUCUUGUCAUCUCGCAAAAUUAGGUGUCAUGUGCUUCAGAUCACUGCGAGGGUUAAACAGCGACAACUGAGUUGGGCUAGUCAUUGGGGGCACAUGCACGAAGACUACUAUCGACAGACCUCUUUUCUACGAGUUUAUCUUUAAUUUGAGCUUUGAUCCUCGUCUAGUUUGUCCGUCGGGAUUCAUCUUGUCUCCUUUGGGCAGUGAGGUUAUGAUUUCUUGUCAUGUGGCAUUUUUUCGUGUUAUAUGUUAUAAUCCGGUGCUUCAGAUCAAAAUGACGGCAACUGCGCCUCCGGGGCACGUGCAUGAGGACUUCUCGACAGUCAUUGCCGAGGUCAAGCCGGCUCCGGCCGUGUCGGAGUAAUGGGCCACGGGUAGGCUAACCCGAGCCCCUGAGCCUUUCAAGACAACGGGGCUGGCAGCGCCGCUCGAGGCGUCAAGACGAGGUGCCGCCUUCUGGUGGCCGGCUGGAGGAAUGGCCGGCUGCCCGUAGGCGGCCGAGUUCCAGAAGCCGGCAUCAGACAAGCCGACUCCUAGUGGGGCGGCUUCCAGAGAAGCCGGCCCCUAGCAGUCGGCCCGUGGCGCCUACGAAGCCUGCGCCCUCAUCAAGAAAGACAAGACAGGGAGUGGCUACAGUAUAGCCCAUCCCUUCCCAAAUCCAGGGAUGGGCGUGGCCACAGUGCACCGUACCAGCGGAGAUCUCCGCCCGGCGCGGCACUGUUGCCACUCCACCCCUGACGUCACCACAAGCAGGCAGAGCCCUACUCCCACGACGGCCUGUCGGUACGGCCCAAGGACGACGGGCCCCACCGAUCAGCGAGAGCCCGGAAGACGGCUAGAGCCCCACCAGUCGGAUCCGAGGGAGGUCGGUCCCCAGCAGUUGGCCCGCCCCUUCCUCGGGGCCCACUCGCCAUUAACCAGACGAGACGCGGAGUGGCUACAGUAAUCGCCCGCCAGGCGACGGGGCUGUAGCCACACUCCCCUGACCGAGUCGGCAUCAUUAGCAUCACAGCUACAGUGAUCAGCAGCCGACAAGACCCGCGAGCGGCAGAGGCGGCCUGUCGGCUCCGUACCAGACCAGGCGGCGGGCCCCAGCAGCCGGCGGAGAAGCCGGCCACCAGAGAGACUGACAGCCGGGUCCUACACCCGGCCGGAUUACUAUUGUACCCCUGGGGGGUAGGCCUAUAUAAACCCCCCAGGGCACCCAUGCAAGGGGUUCCCAACCUGUUAGAACUAGACCGACCCAUAGAGAAAGGAGAGAGCUAGCCUUGCUUUCUUCCACCUCUAGCAAACAGCUCGAGGAGUACCAUUGUACUCACUAGUGCCUUAGUGAUCAUGCGGAGACCACGCAGAGCAGGACUAGGGGUGUUAUCUCCUAGGAGAGCCCCGAACCUGGGUAAAGUGCGCCGGCGUUCGUGUCUACGCCUUAUCCCGCUUCCAGGCACCGGCGACGUUCUACUCGCUCCCACCAUGAUAAGCCAUCCAUUGGCAUAUGUCGCACCCAACCCCCGACAUUUGGAACCCACCGUGGGGCGAGGUGCACCGUCGUCCGGAGACCUGUUCUGGACGGGAACCCUUUUCCUCCCUGGCAAGCGCAGCCAGCCCGGCAUGAAGGAAAUAUGCCCUAGAGGCAAUAAUAAAGUAUUAUAUAUUUCCUUAUAUCAUGAUAAAUGUUUAUUAUUCAUGCUAGAAUUGUAUUAACCGGAAACAUAAUACAUGUGUGAAUACAUGGACAAACAGUGUGUCACUAGUAUGCCUCUACUUUACUAGCUCGUUAAUCAAAGAUGGUUAUGUUUCCUAGCCAUAGACAUGAGUUGUCAUUUGAUUAACGGGAUCACCUCAUUAGGAGAAUGACGUGAUUGACUUGACCCAUUCAGUUAGCUUAGCACCCGAUCGUUUAGUAUGUUGCUAUUGCUUUCUUCAUGACUUAUACAUGUUCCUAUGACUAUGAGAUUAUGCAACUCCCGUUUACCGGAGGAACACUUUGUGUGCUACCAAACAUCACAACAUAAAUGGGUGAUUAUAAAGGUGCUCUACAGGUGUCUCCAAAGGUACUUGUUGGGUUGGCGUAUUUUGAGAUUAGGAUUUGUCACUCCGAUUGUCGGAGAGGUAUCUCUGAGCCCACUCGGUAAUGCACAUCACUAUAAGCCUUGCAAGCAUUGUGACUAAUGAGUUAGUUGCGGGAUGAUGUAUUACGGAACGAGUAAAGAGACUUGCCGGUAACGAGAUUGAACUAGGUAUCGAGAUACCGACGAUCGAAUCUCGGGCAAGUAACAUACCGAUGACAAAGGGAACAACGUAUGUUGUUAUGCGGUCUGACCGAUAAAGAUCUUUGUAGAAUAUGUGGGAGCCAAUAUGGGCAUCCAGGUCCCGCUAUUGGUUAUUGACCGGAGAGAUGUCUCGGUCAUGUCUACAUAGUUCUCGAACCCGAAGGGUCCGCACGCUUAACGUUACGAUGACAGUUUUAUUGAGUUUUGAUGUACCGAAGGAGUUCGAAGUCCCGGAUGAGAUCGGGGACAUGACGAGGAGUCUCGAAAUGGCCGAGACGUAAAGAUCGAUAUAUUGGACGACUAUAUUCGGACUUCGGAAAGGUUCCGAGUGAUUCGGGUAUUUUUCGGAGUACCGGAAAGUUACGGGAAUUCGUAUUGGGCCUUAAUGGGCCAUACGGGAAAGGAGAGGAAGACCCCAAAGGGUGGCCGCACCCCUCCCCAUGGGCUAGUCCGAAUUGGACUAGGGAAAGGGGGCGCCCCCUUCCUUCUUUCUCCUUCCCCCUUCCCUUCUCCUACUCCCACAAGGAAAGGAGGAGUAGGACUCCCCCCUUUGGCGCGCCUCUCCCCUUGGCCGGCUGCCUCCCCCUUGCUCCUUUAUAUACGGAGGCAGGGGGGCACCCAAGAGACACAACAAUUGAUCCUUGAGAUCUCUUAGCCGUGUGCGGUGCCCCCUCCACCAUAUUACACCUUGAUAAUACCGUUGCGGAGCUUAGGCGAAGCCCUGCGUCGGUGAAACAUCACCAUCGUCACCACACCGUCGUGCUGACGAAACUCUCCCUCAACACUCGGCUGGAUCGGAGUUCGAGGGACGUCAUCGAGCUGAACGUGUGUAGAACUUGGAGGUGCCGUACGUUCGGUACUUGAUCGGAUCGUGAAGACGUAGGACUACAUCAACCGCGUUGUGAUAACGCUUCCGCUGUCGGUCUACGAGGGUACGUGACAACACUCUCCCCUCUCGUUGCUAUGCAUCACCAUGAUCUUGCGUGUGCGUAGGAAAUUUUUGGAAAUUACUAUGUUCCCCAACAGUGGCAUCCGAGCCUGGUUUUAUGCGUUGAUGCUAUGCACGAGUAGAACACAAGUGAUUUGUGGGCGAUAUAAGUCAUACUGCUUACCAGCAUGUCAUACUUUGGUUCAGCGGUAUUGUGAGAUGAAGCGGCCCGGACCGACAUUACGCGUACGCUUACGCGAGACGGGUUUCACCGUUCGGAGCACUCGUUGCUUAAAGGUGACUGGCGGGUGUCUGUCUCUCUCACUUUAGUUGAACCGAGUGUGGCUACGCCCGGUCCUUGCGAAGGUUAAAACAGCACCAACUUGACAAACUAUCGUUGUGGUUUUGAUGCCUAGGUAAGAACGGUUCUUGCUAAGCCCGUAGCAGCCACGUAAAACUUGCAACAACAAACUAGAGGACGUCUAACUUGUUUUUGCAGGGCAUGUUGUGAUGUGAUAUGGUCAAGACAUGAUGUGAUAUAAUUUGUUGUAUGAGAUGAUCAUGUUUUGUAACCGAGUUAUCGGCAACUGGCAGGAGCCAUAUGGUUGUCGCUUUAUUGUAUGAGAUGCAAUCGCCAUGUAAUAGUUUUACUUUAUCACUAAGCGGUAGCGAUAGUCGUAAAAGCAAUAAGUUGGCGAGACGACAACGAUACUACGAUGGAGAUCAAGGUGUCGCGCCGGUGACGAUGGUGAUCAUGACGGUGCUUCGGAGAUGGAGAUCACGAACACGGUGCUUCGGAGAUGGAGAUCACGAACACGAUGCGCCGGUGACGAUGGUGAUCAUGACGGUGCUUCGGAGAUGGAGAUCACGAGCACGGUGCUUCGGAGAUGGAGAUCACAAGCACAAGAUGAUGAUGGCCAUAUCAUAUCACUUAUAUUGAUUGCAUGUGAUGUUAAUCCUUUAUGCAUCUUAUCUUGCUUUGUUUGACGGUAGCAUUAUAAGAUGAUCUCUCACUAAAAUUUCAAGAUAAAAGUGUUAUCCCUGAGUAUGCACCGUUGCGAAAGUUCUUCGUGCUGAGACACCACGUGAUGAUCGGGUGUGAUAGGCUCUACGUUCAAAUACAACGGGUGCAAAACAGUUGCACACGCGGAAUACUCAGGUUAAACUUGACGAGCCUAGCAUAUGCAGAUAUGGCCUCGGAACACAGAGACCGAAAGGUCGAGCGUGAAUCAUAUAGUAGAUAUGAUCAACAUAGUGAUGUUCACCAUUGAAACUACUCCAUCUCACGUGAUGAUCGGACAUGGUUUAGUUGAUUUGGAUCACGUAAUCACUUAGAUGAUUAGAGGGAUGUCUAUCUAAGUGGGAGUUCUUAAGUAAUAUGAUUAAUUGAACUUAAAUUUAUCAUGAACUUAGUCUUGACAGUAUUUUGCAAGUUAUGUUGUAGAUCAAUAGCUCGCGUUGUUGCUUCCCUGUGUUUAUUUUUGAUAUGAUUCCUAGAGAAAAUUAUGUUGAAAGAUGUCAGUAGCAAAGAUGCGGAUUGGAUCCGUGAUCUGAGGAUUAUCCUCAUUGCUGCACAGAAGAAUUAUGUCCUUAAUGCACCGCUAGGUGACAGACCUAUUGCAGGAGCAGAUGCAGACGUUAUGAACACUUCGGCUAGCUCAAUAUGAUGACUACUUGAUAGUUUAGCGCACCAUGCUUAAACGGCUUAGAAUCGGGAUUUCAAAGACGUUUUGAACGUCAUGGACCAUAUGAGAUGUUCCGGGAGUUGAAGUUAAUAUUUCAAGCAAAUACCCGAGUUGAGAGAUAUGAAGUCUCCAACAAGUUCUAUAGCUAAAAGAUGGAGGAGAAUCGCUCAACUAGUGAGCAUGUGCUCAGAUUGUCUGGGUACUACAAUCGCUUGAAUCAAGUGGGAGUUAAUCUUCCAGAUAAAAUAAGUGAUUGACAGAAUUCUCUAGUCACCAUCACCAAGUUAGUAGAACUUCGUGAUGAACUAUAGUAUGCAAGGGAUGAUGAAAGUGAUUCCCGAGCUCUUCGUGAUGCUGAAAUCGACGAAGGUAGAAAUCAAGAAAAAAAUCAAGUGUUGAUGGUUGACGAGACCACUAGUUUCAAGAAAAGGGCAAAGGGAAGAAGGGGAACUUCAAAAAGAACGGCAAGCAAGUUGCUACUCAAGUGAAGAAGCCCAAGUCUGUACCUAAGCCUGAGACUAAGUGCUUCUACUGCAAAGGGACUGGUCACUGGAGGCGAAACUGCCCCAAGUAUUUGGUGGAUAAGAAGGAUGGCAAAGUGAACAAAGGUAUAUUGGAUAUACAUGUUAUUGAUGUGUGCUUACUAGUGUUUAUAGCAACCCCUCAGUAUUUGAUACUGGUUCAGUUGCUAAAGAGUAGUAACUCGAAAACGGGAGUUGCAGAAUAAACAGAGACUAGUAAAAGGCAAGGUGACGAUGUGUGUUGGAAGUAGUUCCAAGAUGGAUAUGAUCAUCAUCGCACACUCCCUAUACUUUCAGGAUUAGUGUUGAAACUAAAUAAGUGUUAUUUGGUGUUUGCGUUGAGCAUGAAUAUGAUUUGAUCAUGUUUAUUGCAAUACGGUUAUUCAUUUAAGUUAGAGAACAAUUGUUGUUCUGUUUACAUGAAUAAAAACCUUCUAUGGUCAUACACACGAACGAAAAUGGUUUGUUGGAUCUCGAUCGUAGUGAUACACAUAAUCAUAAUAUUGAAGCCAAAAGAUGCAAAGUUAAUAAUGAUAGUGCAACUUAUUUGUGGCACUGCCGUUUAGGUCAUAUUGGUGUAAAGCGCAUGAAGAAACUCCAUACUGAUGGGAUUUUGGAAUCACUUGAUUAUGAAUCACUUGAUGCUUGCGAACCGUGCCUCAUGGGCAAGAUGACUGAAACACCGUUCUCCGGAACUAUGGAGAGAGCAAUAGAUUUGUUGGAAAUCAUACAUACAGAUGUAUGUGGUCCGAUGAAUAUUGAGGCCCGUAGCAGAUAUCAUUAUUUUCUGACCUUCACAGAUGAUUUCAGCAGAUAUAGGUAUAUCUGCUUAAUGAAACAGAAGUCUGAAACAUUUGAAAAGUUCAUAUAAUUUCAGAGUGAAGCGGAAAAUCAUCGUAAGAAGAAAAUAAAGUUUCUACGAUCUGAUCGUGGAGAAGAGUAUUUGAGUUACGAGUUUGGCCUUCAGUUAAAACAAUGUGAAAUAGUUUUGCUACUCACGCCACCUGGAACACCACAGUGUAAUGGUGUGUCCAAACAUCGUAACCGUACUUUAUUAGAUAUGGUGCGAUAUAUGAUGUCUCUUACCGAUCUACCACUAUUGUUUUGGGGUUAUGCAUUAGAGAUAGCUGCAUUCACGUUAAAUAGGCUACCAUCUAAAUCCGUUGAGACGACAUCUUAUGAACUGUGGUUUGGCAAGAAACCAAAGUUGUCGUUUCUUAAAGUUUGGGGCUGCGAUGCUUAUGUGAAAAAGCUUCAACCUGAUAAGCUCGAACCCAAAUCGGAGAAAUGUAUCUUCAUAGGAUACCCAAAGGAGACUGUUGGGUACACCUUCUAUCACAGAUCCGAAGGCAAGACAUUCGUUGCUAAGAAUGGAUCCUUUCUAGAGAAGGAGUUUCUCUCGAAAGAAGUGAGUGGGAGGAAAGUAGAACUUGAUGAGGUAAUUGUACCUGCUCCCUUAUUGGAAAGUAGUUCAUCACAGAAAUCUGUUCCUGUGACUUCUACACCAAUUAGUGAGGAAGUUAAUGAUGAUGAUCAUGUAACUUCAGAUCAAGUUACUACCAAACCUCGUAGGUAAACCAGAGUAAGAUCCGCACCAGAGUGGUACGGUAAUCCUGUUCUGGAGGUUAUGUUACUAGACCAUGACGAACCUACGAACUAUGAAGAAGCGAUGGUGAGCCCAGAUUCCGCAAAAUGGCUUGAGGCCAUGAAAUCUGAGAUGAGAUCCAUGUAUGAGAACAAAGUGUGGACUUUGGUUGACUUGCCCGAUGAUCGGCAAGCAAUUGAGAAUAAAUGGAUCUUCAAGAGGAAGACGGACGCUGAUAGUAGUGUUACUAUCUACAAAGCUAGAAUUGUCGCAAAAAGGUUUUCGACAAGUUCAAAGUGUUGACUACGAUGAGAGUUUCUCACUCGUAUGUAUGCUUAAGUCUGUCCGAAUCAUGUUAGCAAUUGCCGCAUUUUAUGAAAUAUGGCAAAUGGAUAAACAAAACUGCACUCCUUAAUGGAUUUAUUAAAGAAGAGUUGUAUAUGAUGCAACUAGAAGGUUUUGUCAAUCCUAAAGGUGCUAACAAAAUAUGCAAGCUCCAGCGAUCCAUCUGUGGACUGGUGCAGGCAUCUCGGAGUUGGAAUAUACGCUUUGAUAAGUUGAUCAAAGGAUAUAGUUUUAUACAGACUUGCGAUAAAGCCUGUAUUUACAAGAAAGUGAGUGGGAGCACUACAGCAUUUCUGAUAAGUAUAUGUGAAUGACAUAUUGUUGAUCAGAAAUAAUGUAGAAUUAUUCUGCAAAGCAUAAAGGAGUGUUUGAAAGGAGUUUUUCAAAGAAAGACUUCGGUGAAGCUGCUUACAUAUUGAGCAUCAAGAUCUAUAGAGAUAGAUCAAGACGCUUGAUAAGUUUUUUCAAUGAGUACAUACCUUAACAAGAUUUUGAAGUAGUUCAAAAUAGAACAGUCAAAGAAAGAGUUCUUGCCUGUGUUACAAGGUGUGAAAUUGAGUAAGACUCAAAGCCCGACCACGGCAGAAGAUAGAAAGAGAGUGAAAGUCAUUCCCUAUGCCUUGGCCAUAGGUUCUAUAAAGUAUGCCAUGCUGUGUACCAGAUCUAUUGUAAACCCUACACUGAUUUUGGCAAGGGAGUACAAUAGUGAUCUAGGAGUAGAUCACUGGACAGCGGUCAAAAAUUAUCCUUGGUGGAAUAAGGAUAUGUUUCUCGAUUAUGGAAGUGACAAAAAGGUUCGUCGUAAAGGGUUACGUCGAUGCAAGUUUUUGACACUAAUCUAGAUGACUCUAAGUCUCGGUCUAGAUACAUAUUGAAAGUGGGAGCAAUUAGCUAAGAGUAGCUACGUGCAGAGCAUUGUAGACAUAGCAAUUUGCAAAAUACUUAUGGAUCUGAAUAUGACAGACCCGUUGACUAAAAUUAUCUCACAAUCAAAACAUGAUCACACCUUAGUACUCUUUGGGUGUUAAUCACAUAGCGAUGUGAACUAGAUUAUUGACUCUAGUAAACCCUUUGAGUGUUGGUCACAUAGAGAUGUGAACUAUGGGUGUUAAUCACAUGGUGAUGUGAAUUAUUGAUGUUAAAUCACAUGGCGAUCUGAACUAGAUUAUUGACUCUAGUGCAAGUGGGAGACCGAAGGAAAUAUGCCCUAGAGGCAAUAAUAAAGUAUUAUAUAUUUCCUUAUAUCAUGAUAAAUGUUUAUUAUUCAUGCUAGAAUUGUAUUAACCGGAAACAUAAUACAUGUGUGAAUACAUGGACAAACAGUGUGUCACUAGUAUGCCUCUACUUGACUAGCUCGUUAAUCAAAGAUGGUUAUGUUUCCUAGACAUAGACAUGAGUUGUCAUUUGAUUAACGGGAUCACCUCAUUAGGAGAAUGACGUGAUUGACUUGACCCAUUCAGUUAGCUUAGCACCCGAUCGUUUAGUAUGUUGCUAUUGCUUUCUUCAUGACUUAUACAUGUUCCUAUGACUAUGAGAUUAUGCAACUCCCGUUUACCGGAGGAACACUUUGUGUGCUACCAAACGUCACAACGUAAAUGGGUGAUUAUAAAGGUGCUCUACAGGUGUCUCCAAAGGUACUUGUUGGGUUGGCGUAUUUCGAGAUUAGGAUUUGUCACUCCGAUUGUCGGAGAGGUAUCUCUGAGCCCACUCGGUAAUGCACAUCACUAUAAGCCUUGCAAGCAUUGUGACUAAUGAGUUAGUUGCGGGAUGAUGUAUUACGGAACGAGUAAAGAGACUUGCCGGUAACGAGAUUGAACUAGGUAUCGAGAUACCGACGAUUGAAUCUCGGGCAAGUAACAUACCGAUGACAAAGGGAACAAUGUAUGUUGUUAUGCGGUCUGACCGAUAAAGAUCUUCGUAGAAUAUGUGGGAGCCAAUAUGGGCAUCCAGGUCCCGCUAUUGGUUAUUGACCGGAGAGGUGUCUCGGUCAUGUCUACAUAGUUCUCGACCCGAAGGGUCCGCACGCUUAACGUUACGAUGACAGUUUUAUUGAGUUUUGAUGUACCGAAGGAGUUCGGAUUCCCAGAUGAGAUCGGGGACAUGACGAGGAGUCUUGAAAUGGCCGAGACGUAAAGAUCGAUAUAUUGGACGACUAUAUUCGGACUUCGGAAAGGUUCCGAGUGAUUCGGGUAUUUUUCGGAGUACCGGAGAGUUACGGGAAUUCGUAUUGGGCCUUAAUGGCCAUACGGGAAAGGAGAGGAAGACCCCAAAGGGUGGCCGCACCCCUCCCCAUGGGCUAGUCCGAAUUGGACUAGGGAAAGGGGGCGCCCCCUUCCUUCUUUCUCCUUCCCCCUUCCCUUCUCCUACUCCCACAAGGAAAGGAGGAGUCCUACUCCCGGUGGGAGUAGGACUCCCCCCUUUGGCGCGCCUCUCCCCUUGGCCAGCUGCCUCCCCCUUGCUCCUUUAUAUACGGAGGCAGGGGGCACCCAGAGACACAACAAUUGAUCCUUGAGAUCUCUUAGCCGUGUGCGGUGCCCCCCUCCACCGUAUUACACCUCGAUAAUACCGUUGCGGAGCUUAGGCGAAGCCCUGCGUCGGUGAAACAUCAUCAUCGUCACCACGCCGUCGUGCUGACGAAACUCUCCCUCAACACUCGGCUGGAUCGGAGUUCGAGGGACGUCAUCGAGCUGAACGUGUGUAGAACUUGGAGGUGCCGUACGUUCGGUACUUGAUCGGUCGGAUCGUGAAGACGUACGACUACAUCAACCGCGUUGUGAUAACGCUUCCGCUGUCGGUCUACGAGGGUACGUGGACAACACUCUCCCCUCUCGUCCCUAUGCAUCACCAUGAUCUUGCGUGUGCGUAGGAAUUUUUUUGAAAUUACUACGUUCCCCAACACGGCACGCCAGACGGAGUCUGCGCUGACGCGCUGCAUGGCGCGGAGGUCGCCUGCGCGGCGAGCUGCCUCGCCGAUCUUGUUGGCGAGGUUCGCCUCUCCGACGAGCCCGCGUCUGACGUGGGCACCGAAGGCCGUGAGAGCCGCCUCGCGAGCCUCCUCGAUCAGCUCCACGUCACCAGCAAGCCUACUGUGGACUUGGAAUCUGUAGGCUCCACCGACCCGAUGCUUGUCGAUUCCGACACUGCAUCGUUGACGCGUUCCCCACCAACGUGGUGGUCUACGACGAGCCGCCUCGUCGCGCGGAGAGCUGCGGAAUCACCGUCAUGGAGGUGCUUGUCAUCGGUCACAGCGAGCACUCCGGCGGAGGCGCUCAUGACCUGCUCGAUGCGGCACUGCAAGACCUGACGGCGCCCAUUCCAGAAGACGCCGACGCCGAGAUGCUGGAAGCACGCCGCGCCCAGCUAGUCGAGAGCGCCAAGAAGCUGGCCAACAUGAGACGCCUGUCGGAGGCCUACCAGCGCGAGAUGGACCGUGCUGUGGGUGGCACGCCGGCUCCUGGUGGGCCUAGCCGCAUCGGCACGGUCCAGCAACGCGGCGUGGCCAUCGCCAGCUUAUUCGGGGAAGAUCGCCCCGUCUACGCCACGCCCGCGGAAAACAUACGAGCUGCCCAGGCGGCAGCUGAAGAGCUGGACAAGUUUGAGGGCGAAGAGCGUCGCCAGAUGGCGGAGCGCGUCCAGCGACUCCUCGACGCGGCUGCUGAGCAGCACGAGGCCGGCUACCGUACUGAGGCUCCCAACCGGCAGAAUGACGAUCCGCCUCCCCGCCGAGAUCAAGGCGCGACAUCCCGGACGCCGACUGGUGGCGUCCGCGGAAGAAGAGACAAGGAGCCGGCUGCCAGCCGCAGCCGGACUCGCCUCACCAUCGAGCGCGACCAAGACGGUCGCCCAAGAGCUGUAGAACGACGGGAUGACUGUCCGCCUCCUCCCCCUCGCAGGGAAAGGCGCGUCUGCCCGCCGCCUUUUGAACACCCGACACUCGGCGACCGCCUUGGUCGCCGAGAAGGAGUCGGAGAGAACGAUGCCCGCCACCGGAUCGACCGUCUCAACCGAUCCCUGGAGCUAGAAGAAGAAGAUGAGCUGGGUCCGCCUUGUUUCGGCCCCCGCAUUCGAGAUGAGCCCUUCCCCAAAGGGUUCACGCUCCCGAGAGACACGCCCAAAUACACCGGCUCCGUGAAGCCGGAUGACUGGCUGGUCGACUACUCCACAGCCGUCAGCAUCGCGAACGGCAACAAGCGCAUUGCCGUGAAGUAUGUUCCGCUCAUGCUCCAGGGCACGGCCCGGACAUGGCUGAACAGCCUGAAACCCCGCAGCAUCAACAGUUGGGUCGAUUUCACCGAAGCCUUCAUCCGCAACUUCACCAGCACAUGCAAGCGGUCGCCAAAGCCUCGGCAGCUCUCCUUGUGUGUCCAAGGCCCCAACGAGUCGACUCGUGACUACCUCACGCGCUGGGCCGAGCUCCGCAACUCUUGCGAAGGCAUGCACGAGGUGCAGGCCAUCGAGUACUUCACCGCCGGGUGCCGAGAGGGCACCCUUCUCAAGCACAGGCUUCUUUGCGACGAGCCGGCGACCCUCGAUGAGCUGCUGAUCAUAGCAGAUAAAUACGCCACGGCCGACUCCUCCAUGAAGGCAGAGAUCCAAGUUGAUGCGUCUGGCAAAGUGGCUCCUCCAGCUCCUCGGGCCCCGGCUGGUGACACCAGUCAGCGUCAGCAACCCAACGAUAACAAACGCAAGGCCGCGCAGCCGGCUUCUAAAAGCCGGCAGGUGGCGACAGUCGAAGACCAGCAGCCGGAAGGGCAGCCUCCAUCUAAGCGCCAGAAGGGCGGCAAGCCCAAUUGGCUGCCCGCUUUCUCAUAUGAGCAGACCCUCGAUGCGCCCUGCAAGUUCCACAGUGGUGCGAAGCCGUCCAACCACACCACUCUAAAGUGCCAUUGGCUCACCAGGAUCGCCAAGGGUGACGGCCUUUUGCCUCCUCCGCCUGCUGGGCAGCCGCCUCUUCCUCCCCCAGCAGCCGGCGGUUCGACCAGUCGGAGCCAUACAAGACGAGUAUCCUGAAGAGCACGGAACUUAUGUCGUGUUCACCAAUGUGGCCGACGAUAAGCACAGCAGACGGGAACGACAGCAAGAAGUGAAUGCGGUGGCAUCGGAGACCCCCGAGUUCAUGCAUUGGUCCGAGAAGCCCAUCAGCUGGAGCAGAGCCGACCACCCGGAAGUAAUGCCCAAUCCCGGCUCCUAUGCCCUGGUUCUGGAUGCCACUUUUGCCACAGAGCGGCGAGCUGCUCGUUUUUCCCAAGUUCUGAUAGAUGGCAGCAGCAGCAUUAACAUCCUGUACAAGGAUACCAUGGAGAAGUUAGGAAUCAAACAAAGGCAGCUUCAACCCAGUCGGACUGUAUUCCACGGCAUAGUCCCUGGCCUUUCCUGCUCACCAAUCGGCAAGAUCCAGAUAGACGUCCUCUUUGGAGACAAAGAUCACUUCCGCCGAGAGCCAGCCUGGUUUGAAGUGGUGGACCUUGAGAGCCCAUACCAUGCACUACUUGGCCGGCCUACUCUGGCCAAGUUCAUGGCGGUCCCCCACUAUGCUUACCUCAAGAUGAAGAUGCCACGUUCCAAGGGAAUUCUGACCAUAGUGGGGGAUUACAAGAAGUCAUCCGCUUGCGCGGCAGAUAGCAGCCGACUAGCCGAGUCCCUUGUGAUCGCAGCUGAGAAGCGGCUCCUUGAUCGAGUUGUGGCGAUGGCAGGCAAGCAGCCGGAAAUGUCACCCAACCCCAAGGAGUCAGAAGUCGAGGGCUCGUUCAAGCCGGCCAAAGAGACAAAGAAGAUACCCUUGGACCCGGAGCACCCGGAGAGGUACGCUGUCAUAGGUGCAAACCUUGACAGCAAAUAGGAAGGCGAGCUCAUCGAUUUCCUCCGUGAGAAUCGGGACAUCUUUGCAUGGUCACCUAAAGACAUGCCGGGUGUUCCGACGGAUUUCGCCGAGCACAAGUUACAUGUCCGGUCCGAUGCCAAGCCAGUCAGGCAGCCCUUGCGCUGCCUGUCAGAAGAGAAGAGAAGAGUCGUUGGAGAAGAGAUAGCCCGGCUGCUGGCAGCCGGCUUCAUCAUGGAAGUGUUCUUUCCAGAGUGGCUGGCCAACCCAGUCCUUGUGCUGAAGAAAAACAAGCAGUGGCACAUGUGUAUUGAUUACACCAGCCUCAACAAAGCCUGCCCCAAAGACCCAUUUGCUUUGCCGAGAAUUGACCAAGUGAUAGACUCCACAGCCGGAUGCGAGCUGUUGAGUUUUUUGGACGCAUACUCAGGGUAUCACCAGAUCAAGCUGAACCCGGCCGACAGGCUAAAGACCGCCUUCAUCACACCAUUUGGAGCCUUCUGCUACUUGACCAUGACGUUCGGCUUGAGGAAUGCUGGCGCCACGUUUCAACGUUGCAUGCAAAAGUGCCUCCUCAAGCAACUCUGCAGGAACGCCCACGUUUAUGUGGACGAUGUUGUGGUGAAGACGGAGAAGCGUGGAACGCUGCUAGUAGACCUCAAGGAGACCUUUGAGAACUUGCGCCGAUUUCAAAUCAAGCUCAACCCGGAGAAAUGCGUUUUUGAAGUACCAGCCGGCCAGCUUCUUGGCUUCCUGGUCUCAGAGCGCGGCAUAGAGUGCAACCCUGUGAAGAUCAAGGCCAUCGAGAGGAUGGAAGUGCCCACCCGACUGAUCGACGUACAAAAGUUCACCGGCUGCUUGGCGUCCAUCAGCCGUUUCAUCAGUCGGCUGGGAGAGAAGGCUCUUCCCCUAUACCAGCUCAUGAAGAAGACCACUUUUUUCGAGUGGAACGACAAGGCAUAUGAAGCUUUUCUCCAGCUCAAGAAGAUGUUGAUUACUCCACCUGUCCUGGCGGCUUCGACUCCUAAGGAGCCCAUGCUCCUCUACAUCGCCGCCACCAGCCGGGUGGUCAGCACAGUCAUAGUGGUAGAGCGCAAGGAGGAAGGCAAGGCACUACCAGUCCAGAGACCGGUGUAUUACCUGAGUGAAGUGCUGUCAGCCUCCAAGCAAAACUACCCCCACUAUCAGAAGAUGUGCUACGGCGUGCACUUUGCCGCCAAGAAAUUGAAGCCGUAUUUUCAAGAGCACCCAAUCACUGUUGUCUGCACUGCUCCGCUUGCCGAGAUCAUUGGAAGCCGGGAUGCCUGAGGCCGAGUGGCUAAAUGGUCCAUAGAGUUGCCCCCCUACACCAUCUACUACCAGCCCCGCACCACCAUCAAGUCACAAGCACUGGCCGACUUCCUCGUCGACUGGGCCGAGACCCAGUACCUGCCGCCAGUGCCGGACUCCACCCAUUGGCGGAUGCAUUUUGAUGGUUCCAAGAUGUGCACUGGUUUGGGAGCCGGCAUCGUCCUCACCUCUCCCAAAGGCGACAAGCUCAUAUAUGUGCUGCAAAUCCAUUUUGCCGCCUCCAACAACGUCGCUGAAUACGAAGCACUUAUUCACGGACUCCGGCUUGCCAAAGAACUCGGCAUUCGCCGGAUCCUAUGCUAUGGUGACUCUGACUUGGUGGUCCAACAGUCGUCGGGCGACUGGGACGCCAAAGAUGCAAACAUGGCGAGCUACCGCUUCCUCGUACAGCAACUCAGUGGAUACUUUGAAGGGUGCGAGUUUCUCCAUGUGCCAAGGAAUGACAAUGAGCAAGCAGAUGCCUUGGCACGAAUCGGCUCCACCCAUCAAGCAAUACCAACCGGCGUCACCCUACAACGCCUCCUCAAGCCGUCUGUCAAGCCGUCGCCAGAGUCGGAUUCCAUCUUUGUGCCGGCUCCUCCUGAAGCAGCCGGAUCCGACUUGAGGACCCCAGCAGCUGGCACGAGGAAUCCGGCAGGCGACCCGGGGACUGCAACAGCCGCACCCGGCCCGGGGACUUCGGAACCCGGCUCGGGAACUGCAGCAGUCGGCCCGGGGACUUCAUCGACUCAGCGAGCAGCAGCUGACUCCAACCCGCCGCCUCCCGGCCCAACCGCCCUCGUGCAAGUAGCGGUCUUAGCGAUCGAAGAAAUCACAGCGCCCUCAUGGGCCAAGCCCAUCCUCAACUUCCUGGUAAACAAAGAGCUGCCGACUGAUGAGAUCUCUGCCCGGCAAGUGCGACGCCGGGCAGCAGCAUACACCAUAGUCAACAGAGACCUUGUGAGGCGCAGUGUCACUGGUGUCUACCAGCGCUGCGUAGAGCCGGAGCAAGGCCAAGCAAUCCUCAAAGAUAUUCACCAAGGCAAGUGUGGUCUUCACGCGGCUUCAAGAGCACUCAUGGCCAAAGCUUUUCGCCACGGUUUUUUCUGGCCGACUGCUUUAGAAAACGCCAAAGACUUGGUCCAGAAAUGCAAAGGGUGCCAGAAGUUCCGCUCCAAGCCACAUCAGCCAACUUCUGCACUCAAGACUAUCCCUAUUGCCUGGCCCUUUGCUGUCUGGGGCCUGGACAUGGUGGGACCAUUCAAAACAGCACGAGGUGGCAUGACUCAUCUCCUUGUCGCAGUUGACAAGUUCACCAAGUGGAUAGAAGCAAAACUAAUCAAGAAAUUGAAUGGUCCGACCGCCGUGACUUUCAUCUCCGACAUCACCAUCCGGUAUGGCAUACCACACAACAUCAUCACCGACAAUGGCACGAACUUUGCCAAAGGCGCCUUGGCCCGUUUCUGCGCGACACAGGGCAUCCAACUGGACUUAGCGUCCGUUGCCCAUCCGCAGUCAAACGGCCAGGUGGAGCGAGCAAAUGGCCUUAUUUUGUCCGGCAUCAAGCCCCGACUGGUCGAGCCUCUGGAGCGUUCGGCCGGCUGCUGGCUCGACGAGCUGCCAGCCGUCCUCUUGAGCCUGCGCACAACUCCGAACAAGUCAACCGGCUUCACGCCUUUCUUCCUCGUCUAGGGUGCCGAAGCCGUCAUCCCGACGGACAUAGAAUUCGACUCUCCUCGAGUCACCAUGUACACCGAAGAGGAGGCAGAAGAAGCGCGACAAGACGGCGUCGAUCUGCUGGAAGAGGGCCGGCUGUUGGCACUCAGCCGGUCCAGCAUCUACCAGCAGAGCCUGCGCCGAUACUACAACCGGAAGGUCAAGCCGAGAUCUUUCCAAGAGGGAGACCUUGUGCUCCGGCUGAUCCAGCGACCAGCAGGCCAGCACAAGCUCUCAGCGCCUUGGGAAGGCCCCUUCAUCGCCAGCAAGGUGUUGGGCAACGACUCCUACUACCUGAUCGACGCUCAGAAGCCUCGAGCGCGCAAGAGGGACGACUCCGGCAAGGAGACGGAACGGUCAUGGAAUGCAAAUCUCCUCCGAAGAUUUUACAGUUAAUGCAGUAUGUGCCAUGCUACCUUUUGUAUUAAAGUACGAAGACUCCGGGUCCCCCGGGAAGAACUCGGGGACUGCCCUCUUUUAUCUAUAUGAUAAGAAUUAUGCUUAGGAAUGAAUCAUUCCCUUUAUGCCGCUUGGCACCGGGUCCGACCAGUCGGCCCGGGGACUCGCCGCCUUGUACUAUGAAAUGCUUCCUGCAGCCGGACAAGUAAUGUGUUGGCACUUAAGCCGUCUCCUGCCGGAAGCCGCAGCUCGCAGAGUGACUGUCUGGUGGGUAGGAGAAAGGCAGAAAGAGUGCCCACGUGAAAAAUGGCUAAGGACCCAAAGCAUGUGCAUAGUUCAAGCCGGCUUCCCACCUCUACGACCGGCUGUUGAGCAGCCGGCCGGCUGGCUUCUACUUAACUUGCUAAAACAUUCUAAAUCGGCUAAGUACUUGCCUUCCCGAAAGUAGCUACGUACUUGACCCAGCCACAGUCCGCAGAGCGGCUGUUCGGCUGGCAAGACGACAACUAAGGGAGGGCGGCAAAGGAAAAAGCCAAAAGAGCAGAAAGCAAGGAAAGAUAGAACUCGGAAAAAUAUUUUACAUAGCAAAAGUCCCUUGGCCGAUAUUCAACGGAAGUUUGAGAUACACCCCGCGGGUGGAAUUGUGCACAAUUAACAAGUUCGUCGAGACUGAUAGGCAGGUAAAGCAAAACAUAAACUGGCGGCCUAGGGAGCAGCAGACAGGUUCGGUGGAUCGGAGGAGUUGGUGGCGCCGGUUGGUGGAGCGGCCGGCUGGUCAGUCUCCGCUUGGUCGCCUCCAGUGGUAGCCGGCUCGCUUGGGCGUGGCUCGUUGCUGGAGGCGCGGUCGAGCUGAGGCUGGCCGUCCGCUCCGACCUCUGGCGCCUCCUCUUCGCCUUCCUCCUCCUCCUCGCCUUCUUCCUCGCCGCUAGAGCCGAUCACCUCGGCCGAGUCCUCGCCGUCCUCCGGGUUCAGCCCGAACCAUUCUGGUGGCGCUUCGGCGCUGUUCUCAACCCGCUCCGGGACGACGACGCUGGUGUCGGUGUACUCGGCGAUUGCCGCCGCGCGCUUGACAAGGUCAUCUUCCACGACCGCCAACUCCUCCUGAGCCUCUAGCCGAAACGUGGCCAGCUGGGCUAGACUUAGCCCAGGGUACCACGUCUUGACGAAUUCCAAGGCCUGGCGCGCUCCAGCCCGGGCCGAGGAGCCCUUCCAGGCCUCAAGACGGCCGGCCGCCACCUCCAGGCAGUCGGCAGUCCGACUGGGAGUGCGCGGUGCCGUCAUGUCCGGCCACAGGGCGGCGAUCGCCUGGGCGCCGACACGCUGAAGACAGCGCAACAACCGGUGAGCCGGCUGAAGAUGGGUCUCGAUGCUCAGGAGCUGCUCGCUAAGGGUUCAGGGGGCGUCGGGAGCGAUCUGCGCGCCUUCCGCCCUCCGUCCUUCGCGAUCAGCUUCAAUGGCCUGAUUGGCGGCGUCAGAGUGACUAGGGAAGAAGUCUGCCAAGACAGAAAGCAAAGAGCCAAAGUCAGAAACAAGAGGCCGGCUCGACCAGCAGCCGGCAGCUCAAAGAAGGAAAAAGAGGGAAGCUCACCAUCAACUAUGUCUUCAAUCUCGUGGAAGCCGGAAGUCAACAUCGCCUCCUUGUCGGUCCAGGCGGAGCGUUCAGUCGCGAACUCAGCAAGGAGGCCGGUCUCCUUGUCCUCCGCCUCCUUCCGGGCCUUCUUGAGAAGCUCCGCCUGCUCCGCCAGUUGUGCGACCAGCCGGUCACGCUCUUCAGCCAGCUUGCCGCACUCCUCCUUAGCACGCAGCACGGUGUUGGCUUCGCCCAGCUGCUGCUGCAAGACGACAUUGACCUUUGCAGAAGAAAAGAAGAAGGGAAAGGCGUUAGUAACCACCAGAAAGAAGAACAGUUGCCGGGGAGAUCCGGCCUGACUGCUCAGCAGUCGGCCCGAAUCUCGGGGACUACAGCCCGCGGGUGCGCCAGCGUGCCCCCGCAGAGAAAGAAGAGGACUUACUUCGGCUCUCCGACAAGUCGGCAGCACGUUGAUCCAACUCCUGGACUUUGGAGUUGAAGGCGGCCGCACGGAGGUUAUGAUAAUCCUGCAGCAAGGAUAUCGGCGCUCAGAGCCUGCUAAUUAAAGUUCCGAGCCGCCUGCUCAGCAGCCGGCCCGGAACUCAGGGACUACACCCAGUGGGUGCGCUGACGCGCCCCCACGAAGCAAUACAAGAGUUAAAAACGAAGAAGCAAGAAGCGUACCCGGAUGGUUUCUCGCAAUUCCAGGAACGUCGUGUUGCAGUGCUUGAUAGCGUCGGCCUCGGCACGGAGUUUGGCUUGAACAUCCAGGAUCGCCUUGUUCAGAGGGCCUGUCUCGCCUCCCCGCACCCAUCCAGUGGGCGCGGCGCUGGUCGCCUCGGUGUCCGUGAUCGAGGAGCUUGCGGCGCCGGUCUCCAGCGGGCGUGGCGCCAAAGCCGCCUUUGCGAGUCGGCGGUGCGUCGGUGUGCAGACCUCAGGAGUCGGGCCCGUCACCACCUCGUGUCCGGUUGGCGGCACCGGUGGGUCCACCGGCUGCUCGCCUUGCGUGCUCCCGGACGGCGGCGGUGGAGGCACAAUCACGUCCGACAUGGCGACGUCGCCGCCGUCCCUCUCCAUGAUCGGGUGCUCGUCGCCGGCUUCCCCAGUCUGCGCCACGAACGCCAGUGGUGGCGGCGCGGAGUUCAGGGGGCUGAUGAAUAUGGCCGACUGGCGGUGCGCGGCUUCCUCAGCCUGCUUCUUCGCCGCGUCGGCUGCCUCGGCCUCCGCCAGUUUCUUCAGGGCGGCGGCCUCCGCCUUCUCCGCUUCCGCCUUCUCCAGGCGGGCGGCUUCCUGCUCCUCGCGCGCUUCCCGCGUGUUCCGCUCCGUCGCCUCCCGGAGGUCGGCGGCCGGGUCAAUCCGCCGAGCGGUGGUGGAAGUCUCCGCCGACCCCACGAUGGAGGCGGCGGCCGACUUCUCAAGAGAAAGCGGAGCCCUAGAUCAAAGGAAACAAAACAAAGAAACUCAGACAAGAUCAGCAAGGAAGGAGAAAGUACGAGAUGAAGGCGGUACUUACGCGGAAACCAGCUGCGGCUCCUUCACCGCCUUGCGGAAGCAGAUGGCCUUCGCGGCCGCUUCAUCCCGCUUGGUCACCGUGGCUGAGCCCUUGGGCUUCUUUGUCCGGCUGCCAAACAAGCUCGGCGCGGCCCUGCGUUUUUUCGCGCCACCUUGGGCAUCCGGCGCGGCAGACGAGCUCGCGCCUGGCUGGCCGGACCCUGGCUGGUGGCGCGGGGCGACUUCCCCCGCAUCAUCGUCGGGCCAGUCCUCGAGGCUGGCUCCGAGCCUCAAGCUGCCUGCUUCGCCGCCUCCUCCCUCGGCGUCGUCCUCCAAGGCCGCCGCCCCCAAGUCGGGGUCGUCGACGUCGCUCUCCGCUCAGUCGGGGAGGAAUUGGCGCUUCGGCCCCGCGGCGCCGGCUGCCGGCUGGAGGAGGGGGCUCUGUUCAAAGGCCGAUUGGUCAGGUUGGACAGGCCGAACUCGGCCACAAAAAGGAUAGAUAAAAAGAAAGAUAACUUACCAUAGGCGGGGGGUCGGCGCAUGAAUACGGCUCCUUUCUUAGGGACAACAGUUAUACCUCCCUUCUUAGGGACACAAUGGACAGGACUUGCUCACUGACUAUCAGCAACGGGAUAAAUUAUACCUGCCUCCAGAAGCUUUAGUAUUUCUUUCCUUACCACUUCUUUCAUCUUAGGAUUUAACCGUCGUUGGUGAUCAACAACUGGUUUAGCGUCUUUCUCCAAUUUUAUUUUGUGCUGGCAUAAAGUGGGACUAAUGCCAUUAAGAUCAUCAAGAGUAUAUCCAAUAGCAGCACGGUGCUUCUUCAGAGUUUUCAAUAAUUUAUUUUCUUCAUGCUCUGAAAGGUUAGCACUAAUAAUAACAGGAUAUAUCUUCUUUUCAUCAAGAUAAGCAUAUUUAAGAGUAUCGGGUAAUGGUUUAAGCUCAAACAUGGGAUCACCCUUGGGUGGAUGGGAUCCCCUAGUAUUUCAACAGGCAAGUUGUGUUUCAAGAUAGGUCCUUGUUUAAAGAAUACUUCAUCUAUUUCCCUUCUUUCAUUCAUAAACAUAUCAUUUUCAUGGUCUAGCAAAUACUGUUCUAAAGGAUCAUUAGGAGGCACGGCAAUAGAAGCAAGACCAAUAAUUUCAUCUUUGCUAGGCAAUUCCUCAUCACGGGGUUUUCUACGAAAUUUAGCAAAACUAAACUCAUGAGACAUAUCCCCCAAACCAAUAGUAACAACAUCCUUUUUGCAGUCUAUCUUAGCAUUAACAGUAUUCAAGAAGGGUCUACCAAAUAUGAUGGGGCAAGAGCUAUCUUUUGGGGAACCAAGAACAAGAAAAUCAGCAGGAUAUUUGACUUUCCCACACAAGACUUCAACAUCUCUAACAAUCCCAACUGGUGAAAUAGUGUCUCUAUUAGCAAGCUUAAUUGUAACAUCAAUUUCUUCUAUCUCAGCAGGUGCAAUAUCAUGCAUAAUUUCGUUGUAUAAGGAAUGAGGUAUUGCACUUGCACUAGCACCCAUAUCACAUAAGCCAUGAUAACAAUGAUCUCCUAUUUUAACAGAAAUAACAGGCAUGCCUACAACAUGUCUAUGUUUAUUUUUAGUAUCAGGUCUAGCAAUUCUAGCAGUUUCCUCACAGAAGUAAAUAACAUGCCCAUCAAUAUUAUCAGCCAAGAGAUCUUUAACCAUAGCAAUACUAGGUUCAACUUUAAUUUGCUCAGGGGGUUUAGGUGUCUUAAUAUUACUUUUAUUGACCACAUUUGAAGCUUUAGCAUGAUCCUUUAUUCUAACAGGGAAAGGUGGUUUCUCAAUAUAAGCAGUAGGGACGACAGGAUCAUUAUAAGUGAUAGUAUUUUCUUCAACUUUAAUAGGUGCAACUACUUUUACUUCAAUGGGAGGAUUAUAUUUAAACCACUUCUCCUUAGGGAGAUCAACAUGAGUAGCAAAGGAUUCAUAGAAAGAAGCUACUAUCUCAGAGUCAAGUCCAUAUUUAGUGCUAAAUUCACGGAAAACAUCGGUAUCCAUAAAAGAUUUAACACAAUCAAACUUAGGUGUUAUACCUGACUCCUUACCUUUGUCGAGGUCCCAAUCUUCAGAGUUGCGUUUAAUUCUUUCCAAUAAAUCCCAUUUGAAUUCAAUAGUCUUCAUCAUAAAAGAUCCAGUACAAGAAGUAUCGAGCAUGGAGCGAUUAUUGAGAGAAAGCCGAGCAUAAAAAAUUUGAAUAAUCAUUUCUCUUGAGAGCUCAUGAUUGGGGCAUGAAUAUAGCAUUGACUUAAGCCUCCCCCAGGCUUGAGCGAUGCUUUCUCCUUCGCGAGGCCAAAAAUUAUAAAUAUAAUUACGAUCACGAUGAACAAGAUGCAUAGGAUAAAACUUUUGAUGAAAUUCCAAUUUCAAUCGGUUGUAGUUCCAUGAUCCCAUAUCAUCACAUAGCCUAAACCAUGUCAAUGCCUCUCCCUUCAAAGAUAAAGGGAAGACCUUCUUCUUGAUAACAUCCUCGGGCAAACCUGCAAGCUUAAAUAAUCCACAAACUUCAUCCACAUAGAUUAGGUGCAAAUCAGGAUGUAAUGUUCCAUCUCCUGUAAAAGGAUUAGCUAGCAGUUUCUCUAUCAUACCCGAAGGAAUUUCAAAGUAAACAUUUUCAGUAGGUUCAGUAGGUUGAGGAGCAACUCUUUGCUCUACUGGCUGGGGUGAAGAUACCCCGAACAAGCCCCUCAGAGGAUUACUUUCCAUAGUAACAAGUGACAGUAAAUUUCAGCACACUAUAUAAAUUUUUUCUUACCAAAUUCCACCUACCAAAGGCGCUUCACUCCCCGGCAACGGCGCCAGAAAAGAGUCUUGAUGACCCACAAGUAUAGGGGAUCUAUCAUAGUCCUUUCGACAAGUAAGAGUGUCGAACCCAACGAGGAGCAGAAGGAAAUGAUAAGCGGUUUUCAGCAAGGUAUUCUCUGCAAGCACUGAAAUUAUCGGUAACAGAUAGUUUUGUGAUAAGGUAAUUUGUAAUGGGUAACAAGUAAUGAAAGUAAAUAAGGUGCAGCAAGAUGGCCCAAUCCUUUUUCUAGCAAAGGACAAGCCUGGUCAAACUCUUAUAUAGAGAAAAGCGCUCCCGAGGACACAUGGGAAUUAUCGUCAAGCUAGUUUUCAUCAUGCUCAUAUGAUUCGCGUUCGUUACUUUGAUAAUUUGGUAUGUGGGUGACCGGUGCUUCGGUGUUGUCCUUUAUUGGACAAGCAUCCCACUUAUGAUUAACCCCUAUUCCAAGCAUCCGCAACUACAAAAGAAGUAUUAAGGUAAACCUAACCAUAGCAUGAAACAUAUGGAUCCAAAUCAGCCCCUUACGAAGCAACGCAUAAACUAGGGUUUAAGAUUCCGUCACUCUAGCAACCCAUCAUCUACUUAUUACUUACCAAUGCCUUCCUUUAGGCCCAAAGAAUGGUGAACUGUCAUGUAGUCGAUGUUCACAUAACACCACUAGAGGAAAGACAACAUAUAUCUCAUCAAAACAUCGAACGAAUACCAAAUUCACAUGACUACUUAUAGCAAGACUUCUCCCAUGUCCUCAGGAACAAACGUAACUACUCACAAAUCAUAUUCAUGUUCAUAAUCAAAGGGGUAUUAAUAUGCAUAAAGAAUUUGAACAUAUGAUCUUCCACCAAAUAAGCCAACUAGCAUCAACUACAAGGAGUAAUCAACACUACUAGCAACCCACAGGUACCAAUCUGAGGCUUUGGGACAAAGAUUGGAUACAAGAGAUGAACUAGGGUUUUAGAGGAGAUGGUGCUGGUGAAGAUGUUGAUGGAGAUUGACCCCCUCCCGAUGAGAGGAUCGUUGGUGAUGACGAUGGAGAUGAUUUCCCCCUCCCGGACGGAAGUUUCCCCGGCAUAACAGCUCUGCCGGAGCCCUAGAUUGGUUCCGCCAAGGUUCCGCCUCGUGGCGGCGGAGUUUCUUCCCGAAAGCUUGCUUCUUAUUUGUUCUCGUACGAAAGACUUCAUAUAGCAGAAGAUGGGCACCGGAGGCCUGCCAGGGGCCCACGAGGCAGGGGGCGCGCCCAGGGGGGUAGGGCGUGCCCCCACCCUCGUAGCCAGGGUGUGGGCCCCCUCUGGUGGAUUCUUUCGCCAGUAUUUUUUAUUAAUUCCAAAAAUAACUUCCGUGAAGUUUCAGGACUUUUGGAGCUGUGCGGAAUAGGUCUAUAAUAUUUGCUCCUUUUCCAGCCCAGAUUUCCAGCUGCCGGCAUUCUCCCUCUUCAUGUAAACCUUGUAAAAUAAGAGAGAAUAGGCAUAAGUAUUGUGACAUAACGUGUAAUAACAGCCCAUAAUGCAAUAAAUAUUGAUAUAAAAGCAUGAUGCAAAAUGGAUGUAUCAAUGGGAUCCAUGUAUGAGAACAAAGUAUGGACUUUGAUUGACUUGCCCGAUGAUCGGUGAGCUAUUGAGAUUAAAUGGAUCUUCAAGAGGAAGAAGGACGCUGAUAGUAGUGUUACUAUCUACAAAGCUCGAAUUGUCGCAAAAGGUUUUUGGCAAAUUCAAGAUGUUGAUUACGAUGAGAUUUUCUCACUCGUAUCGAUGCUUAAAGUCUGUCCAACUCAUGUUAGCAAUUACCACAUUUUAUGAAAUCUGACAAAUGGAUAUCAAAACUGCAUUCCUUAAUGGAUUUAUUAAAGAAGAGUUGUAUCUGAUACAACCACAAGGUUUUGUCAAUCCUAAAGGUGCUAACAAAAUGUGCAAGCUCCAGCGAUCCAUCUAUGGACUAGUGCAAGCAUCUCGGAGUUGGAAUAUACGCUUUGAUAAGUUGAUCAAAGCAUAUAGUUUUAUACAGACUUGCGGUGAAGCCUGUAUUUACAAGAAAGCGAAUGGGAGCACUACAGCCUUUCUAAUAAGUAUAUGUGAAUGACGUAUUGUUGAUCGGAAAUGAUGUAGAAUUUUCUGGAAAGCAUAAAGGAGUGUUUGAAAGGAGUUUUUAAAGAAAGAACUCGGUGAAGCUGCUUACACAUUGAGCAUGAAGAUCUAUAGAAAUAGAUCAAGACGCUUGAUAAGAUUUUUCAAUGAGUACAUACCUUGACAACAUUUUGAAGUAGUUCAAAAUGGAACAGUCAUAGAAGGAGUUCUUGCCUGUGUUGCAAGGAGUAAAGUUGAGUAAGACUAAAAACCCAACCACGGCAGAAAAUAGAAAGAGAAUGAAAGUCAUUCCCUAUGCCUCAGCCAUAGGUUUUAUAAAGUAUGCUAUGCUGUGUACCAGACCUAUUGUGUACCUUGCUAUGAUUUUGGGAAUGGGGUACGAUAGUGAUCCAGGAGUGGAUCACUGGACAGCAGUCAAAGUUAUCCUUAGUUACCUAAGAGGACUAAAGAAAUAUUUCUCGGUUAUGGAGGUGAUAAAGAGUUCGUCGUAAAGAGUUACGUCGAUGCAAGCUUUAACACCAAUCUGGAUGACUCUGAGUCUCAAUAUGGAUGCAUAUUGAAAAUGGGAGCAAUUAGCUAGAGUAGCUCCAUGCAGAGCAUUGUAGACAUAGAAAUUCGUAAAAUACAUACGGAUCUGGAUGUGGCAGACUCGUUGACUAAACUUCUCUCACAAGCAAAACAUGAUCACACCUUAUUACUCUUGGGUGAUAAUCACAUAGCGAUGUGAACUAGAUUAUUGACUCUAGUAAACCCUUUGAGUGUUGUUCACAUGGCGAUGUGAACUAUGGGUGUUAAUCACAUAAAGAUGUGAACUAUUGGUGUUAAAUCACAUGGCGAUGUGAACUAGAUUAUUGACUCUAGUGCAAGUGGGAGACUGAAGGAAAUAUGCCCUAGAGGCAAUAAUAAAGUUGUUAUUUAUAUUUCCUUAUAUCAUGAUAAAUGUUUAUUAUUCAUGCUAGAAUUCUAUUAACCGGAAACAUAGUACAUGUGUGAAUACAUAGACAAAACAGAAUGUCCCUAGUAUGCCUCUACUUGACUAGCUCGUUAAUCAAAGAUGGUUAAGUUUCCUGGCCAUAGACUGUUGGGAAACGCAGUAAUUUCAAAAAAAAUCCUACGCACAUGCAAGAUCUAUCUAGGUGAUGCAUAGCAACUAGCGGGGAGAGUGUGUCCAUGUAGCCUCGUAGACCGAAAGCGGAAGCAUUAUGACAACGCGGUUGAUGUAGGCGUACGUCUUCACGGUCCGACCGAUCCUAGCACCGAAGGUACGGCACCUCCGCGAUUUGCACACGUUCAGCUCAGUGACGUCCCAUGAACUCUAGAUCCAGCUGAGGUCGAGGGAGAGUUUCGUCAGCACGACAGCGUGAUGAUGGUGAUGAUGAAGCUACCGGCGCAGGGCUUCGCUUAAGCACUUCAACAAUAUGACCCAGGUGGAAAUCUGUGGAGGGGGGCACCGCACACGGCUAAACAAUCAACUUCUGUGUCUAUGGGGUGCCCCCUCCCCUGUAUAUAAAGGAGUGGAGGAGGGGGAGGGCCGUCCCUCUAUGGCGCGCCCAAGGGGGGAGUCCUACUCCCAGUGGGAGUAGGAUUCCCCCUUUCCCUGAAGGAGGAGAGAGGGAGAAGGAAAGGGGGGCGCCGCCCCCCCUUCCCUAGUCCAAUUCGGACCCAAGGGGGAAGGGGCAUGUGGCGUGCCCUAGCCGCCCCCCUCUCUCUCCACUAAAGCCCAUUAGGGCCCAAUAACUCCCCGGGGGGUUCCGGUAACCCCUCGGUACUCCGGUAAAUGCCCGAGCUCACUCAAAACCCUUCCGAUGUACAAACAUAGCCUUCCAAUAUAUCGAUCUUUAUGUCUCGGCCAUUUCGAGACUCCUCGUCAUGUCCGUGAUCAUAUCCGGGACUCCGAACUACCUUUGGUACAUCAAAACACAUAAACUCAUAAUACCGAUCGUCACCGAAUGUUAAGCGUGCGGACCCUACGGGUUCGAGAACUAUGUAGACAUGACCGAGACUCAUCUCCAGUCAAUAACAAAUAGCGGAACCUGGAUGCUCAUAUUGGUUCCUACAUAUUCUACGAAGAUCUUUAUCGGUCAAACCACAUAACAACAUACGUUGUUCUCUUUGUCAUCGAUAUGUUACUUGCCCGAGAUUCGAUCAUCAUUAUAUCAAUACCUAGUUCAAUCUCGUUACCGGCAAGUCUCUUUACUUGUUCCGUAAUGCAUCAUCCCAUAACUAACUCAUUAGUCAUAUUGCUUGCAAGGCUUAUAGUGAUGUGCAUUACCGAGAGGGCCCAUAGAUACCUCUCCGACAAUCGGAGUGACAAAUCCUAAUCUCGAUCUAUGCCAACUCAACAAACACCAUCGGAGACACCUGUAGAGCAUCUUUAUAGUCACCCAGUUACGUUGUGACGUUUGAUAGCACACUAAGUGUUCCUCCGGUAUUCGGGAGUUGCAUAAUCUCAUAGUCAUAGGAACAUGUAUAAGUUAUGAAGAAAGCAAUAGCAAUAAACUAAACGAUCAUAGUGCUAAGCUAACGGGUGGGUCAAGUCAAUCACAUCAUUCUCUAAUGAUGUGAUCCCGUUCAUCAAAUGACAACUCUUUGUCCAUGGCUAGGAAACUUAACCAUCUUUGAUUAAAGAGCUAGUCAAGUAGAGGCAUACUAGUGACACUCUGUUUGUCUAUGUAUUCACACAUGUACUAAGUUUCCGGUUAAUACAAUUCUAGCAUGAAUAAUAAACAUUUAUCAUGAUAUAAGGAAAUAUAAAUAACAACUUUAUUAUUGCCUCUAGGGCAUAUUUCCUUGAGUCUCCCACUUGCACUAGAGUCAAUAAUCUAGAUUACAUUGUAAUGAUUCUAACAGCCAUGGAGUCUUGGUGCUGAUCAUGUUUUGCUCGUGAGAGAGGCUUAGUCAACGAGUCUGCAACAUUCAGAUCCAUAUGUAUCUUGCAAAUCUCUAUGUCUCCCUCCUUGACUUGGUAACGGAUGGAAUUGAAGCGUCUCUUGAUUUGCUUGGUUCUCUUGUGAAAUCUGGAUUCCUUUUCCAAGGCAAUUGCACUAGUAUUGUCGCAAAAGAUUUUCAUUGGUCCAGAUGCACUAGGUAUGACACCUAGAUCGGAUAUGAACUCCUUCAUCUAGACUCCUUCAUUUGCUGCUUCCGAAGCAGCUAUGUACUCCGCUUCACACGUAGAUCCCGCCACGACGCUCUGCUUGGAACUGCACCAACUGACAGCUCCACCAUUUAAUAAAAAUAUGUAUCCGGUUUGUGACUUAGAGUCAUCCGGAUCAGUGUCAAAGCUUGCAUCGACGUAACCAUUUACGACGAGCUCUUUGUCACCUCCAUAAAUGAGAAACAUAUCCUUAGUCCUUUUCAGGUAUUUCAGGAUGUUUUGAUCGUUGUCCAGUGAUUCACUCAUGGAUUACUUUGGUACCUCCCUACUAAACUAAUAGCAAGGCACACAUCAGGUCUGGUACACAACAUUGCAUACAAGAUAGAACCUAUUGCUGAAGCAUAGGGAAUGACUUUCAUUUUCUCUCUAUCUUCUGCAGUGGUCGGGCAUUGAGUCUGACUCAACUUCACACCUUGUAACACAGGCAAGAACCUUUUCUUUGCUUGAUCCAUUUUGAACUUCUUCAAAACUUUAUCAAGGUAUGUGCUUUGUGAAAGUCCAAUUAAGCGUCUUGAUCUAUCUAUAUAGAUCUUGAUGCCAAAUAUAUAAGCAGCUUCACCGAGGUCUUUCAUUGAAAAAUUCUUAUUCAAGUAUCCUUUUAUGCUAUUCAGAAAUUCAGUAUCAUUUCUGAUCAACAAUAUGUCAUCAACAUAUAAUAUUAGAAAUGCUACAGAGCUCCCACUCACUUUCUUGUAAAUACAGGCUUCUCCAAAAGUCUGUACAAAACCAUAUGCUUUGAUCACACUAUGAAAGCGUAUAUUCCAACUCCGAGAGGCUUGCACCAGUCCAUAAAUGGAUCGCUGGAGCUUGCACACUUUGUUAGCACCUUUUGGAUCGACAAAACCUUUAGGUUGCAUCAUAUACAACUCUUCUUUAAGAUAUCCAUUAAGGAAUGCAGUUUUGAUAUCCAUUUGCCAAAUUUCAUAAUCAUAAAAUGCGGCAAUUGCUAACAUGAUUCGGACAGACUUAAGCAUCGCUACGGGUGAGAAGGUCUCAUCAUAGUCAACUCCUUGAACUUGUCGAAAACCUUUAGCAACAAGUCGAGCUUUGUAGAUAGCAACAUUACCGUCAGCGUCAGUCUUCUUCUUGAAAAUCCAUUUAUUCUCUAUGGCUUGCCGAUCAUCGGGCAAGUCAACCAAAGUCCACACUUUGUUCUCAUACAUGGAUCCCAUCUCAGAUUUCAUGGCAUCAAGCCAUUUUGCGAAAUCUAGGCUCAACAUCGCUUCCUCAUAGUUCGUAGGUUCGUCAUGGUCAAGUAACAUGACUUCGAGAACAGGAGUACCGCACCACUCUGGUGCAGAUCUUAUUCUGGUUGACCUACGAGGAUCGGUAGUAACUUGAUCAGAAGUUUCAUGAUCAUCAUUAUUAGCUUCCUCACUUACUGGUGUAGGAAUCACUGGAACUGAUUUCUGUGAUGAACUACUUUCCAAUAAGGGAGUAGGUACAAUUACCUCAUCAAGUUCUACUUUCCUCCCACUCACUUCUUUCGAGAGAAACUCCUUCUCAAGAAAGAACCCAUUCUUAGCAACGAGUAUCUUGCCUUCGGAUCUGUGAUAGAAGGUGUACCCAACAGUCUCCUUUGGGUAUCCUAUGAAGACACAUUUCUCCGAUUUGGGUUUGAGCUUAUCUGGUUGAAGCUUUUUCACAUAAGCAUCGCAGCCCCAAACUUUAAGAAAUGACAACUUGGGUUUCUUGCCAAACCACAAUUCAUAUGGUGUCAUCUCAACGGAUUUAGAUGGUGCCCUAUUUAACAUGAAUGCAGUCGUCUCUAAAGCAUAACCCCAAAACGAUAGCGGUAAAUCAGUGAGAGACAUCAUAGAUCGCACCAUAUCUACUAAAGUACGAUUACGACGUUCGGACACACCAUUACACUAUGGUGUUCCGGGUGGUGUGAGUUGCGAAACUAUUCCGCAUUGUUCCAAAUGAAGACCAAACUCGUAACUCAAAUAUUCUCCUCCACGAUCAGAUCGUAGAAAUUGUAUUUUCUUGUUACGAUUAUUUUCCACUUCACUAUGAAAUUCUUUGAACUUUUCAAAUGUUUCAGACUUAUGUUUCAUCAAGUAGAUAUACCCAUUGAGGGAGUCCUGGACUAAGGGGUCCUCGGGCGCCCGGCCUGUUAGCCAUGGGCCGGACUGAUGGGCUGUGAAGAUACAAAGACCGAAGACUGCACCCGUGUCCGGAUGGGACUCUCCUUGGCGUGGAAGGCAAGCUUGGCGACCAAAUAUGUAGAUUCCCUUCUUUGUAACCGACCCUGUGUAACCCUAGAUCCCCUCGGUGUCUAUAUAAACCGGAGGACUUAGUCCGGAGAGGGAUAUAUUCAUUACCUUAGUUAUACAGGUGAUAACCCACAAGUAUAGGGGAUCAAUUGUAGCCUCUUCUGAUAAGUAAGAGUGUCGAACCCAACGAGGAGCUAAAUGUAGAACAAAUAUUCCCUCAAGUUCUAUCGACCACCGAUACAACUCUACGCACGCUUAACGUUCGCUUUACCUAGAACAAGUAUGAAACUAGAAGUACUUUGUAGGUGUUUUUGAUAAGUUUGCAAGAAUAUAAAGAGCACGUAAAUAAAAACUAGGGGCUGUUUAGAUAAAGAAGCAAUAAAGUUAGUAUAGCGAGUGUGGAAAAGUGGUGGUAGGAGUUGCGAAAUUGUCCCUAAGCAAUUGACUACUUUACUAGACCGAUAGCAAGUUUUAUGUGGGAGAGGCCACUGCUAGCAUGUCAUCCCUGACUUGGAAUUCUAUGCACUUAUGAUUGGAACUAUUAGCAAGCAUCCACAACUACUAACGUUCAUUAAGGUAAAACCCAACCAUAGCAUUAAGAUAUAUUGGUCCCCCUUCAAUCCCGUAUGCAUCAAUUUCUAUGCUAGGUUGAAGCUUCUGUCACUCUUGCCCUCCAAUACAUAGUCCUAUCAACAUACAACUAACCCCAUGGUGUGAUCCACGCGCGCGCUCAUAUGAUGGGCACCAAAGGACAGCAACAUAACCACAAGCAAAUUAAAUCAAUCAUAGCAAUUCAUCAACCACCGAUAGGACAACGAAAAUCUACUCAGACAUCAUAGGAUGGCAACACAUCAUUGGAUAAUAAUAUGAAGCAUAAAGCACCAUGUUCAAGUAGAGGGUACAGCAGGUUGCGAGAGAGUGGACUGCUGUAGAUAGAGGGGGGAAGGUGAUGGAGAUGUUGGUGAAGAUAGCGGCGGUGUUGGUGAAGAUCGCGGUGAUGAUGAUGAUGGCCACGACGGUGUUCCGGCGCCACCGGAAGAGAGGGGGAGAGGGGCCCCCCUUCUUCUUCUUCUUCUUCUUCUUCUUCCUUGACCUCCUCCCUAGAUGGGAGAAGGGUUUCCCCUCUGGUCCUUGGCCUCCAUGGCAUGGGAGGGGCGAGAGCCCCUCCGAGAUUGGAUCUGUCUCUCUGUCUCUCUCUGUUUCUGCGUUCUAGAUUCUGCCCUUUCACCGUUUCUUUUAUAACCGGAGAUCUGUAACUCCGAUUGGGCUGAAUUUUGGACACGAUCUAUAUCCAGAAAUUAGCUUUCUUGCGGCGAAAUAAGGGCUCCAACCGCCUUACGGGGUGGCCACGAGGGUCCAGGGCGCGCCUGACCCCCUAGGGCGCCCCCUGCCUUGUGGCCCCCUCGGGCAUUGUACCGCGUUGAUUCUUCUUCCCAAAAAUCACAAAUAUUCCAAAAAACAUCUCCGUCAGUUUUUAUCCUGUUUGGACUCCGUUUGAUAUGGAUUUUCUGCGAAAUAAAAAACAUGCAACAAACAAGAACUGGCACUGGGCACUGGAUCAAUAUGUUAGUCCCCAAAAUAGAAUAAAAAAGUUGCCAAAAGUAUAUGAAAGUUGUGGAAUAUUAGCAUGGAACAAUCAAAAAUUAUAGAUACGACGGAGACGUAUCAGCAUCCCCAAGCUUAAUUCCUGCUCGUCCUCGAGUAGGUAAAUGAUAAAAAAGAUAAUUUUUGAUGUGGAAUGCUACCUAGCAUAAUCUUGAUCAUGUAAUCUAAUCAUGGCAUGAAUAUUAAGACACGAGUGAUUCAAAGCAAUAGUCUGUCGUUUGACAUUAAGACAAUAAUACUUCAAGCAUACUAAUAAAGCAAUCAUGUCUUUUCAAAAUAACCUGGCCAAAGAAAGUUAUCCCUACAAAAUCAUAUAGUCUGGCUAUGCUCCAUCUUCACCACACAAAAUAUUCAAAUCAUGCACAACCCCGAUGACAAGCCGAGCAAUUGGUUCAUACUUUUUAACGCGCUUUAGCCUUUUCAACCCUCACGCAAUACAUGAACGCAAGCCAUGGAUAUAGCACUAUGGGUGGAAUAGAAUAUGAUGAUGGAGGUUGUGUGGAGAAGACAAAAAAGGAGAAAGUCUCACAUCGACGCGGCUAAUAAACGGGCUAUGGAGAUGCCCAUCAAUUGAUGUCAAUGUGAGGAGUAGGGAUUGCCAUGGAACGGAUGCACUAGAGCUAUAAGUGUAUGAAAGCUCAAACUGAAACUAAGUGGGUGUGCAUCCAACUUGCUUGCUCAUGAAGACCUCGGGCAUUUGAGGAAGCCCCUCAUCGUAAUAUACAAGCCAACUUCUAUAAUGAAAAUUUCCACUAGUAUAUAAAAGUGAUAACUCAAGAGACUCUCUAUAUGAAGAACAUGGUGCUACUUUGAAGCACAAGUGUGGUAAAAGGAUAGUAACAUUGCCCCUUUUUCUUUUUUUUCUUUUUUUUUGCGGGCUUCUUUGGCCCCUUUUUUAUUUAGGCUUCUUUGGCCUCUCUCUUUUUUUUACCAGGGGGCAAUGCUCUAAUAAUGAUGAUCAUCACACUUUUAUUUACUUACAACUCAAUAUUACAACUCGAUACUAGAACAAAGAUAUGACUCUAUAUGAAUGCCUCCGGCGGUGUACCGGGAUGUGCAAUGAUCUAGCGUAGCAAUGACAUCAAAAAACGGACAAGCCAUGAAAACAUCAUGCUAGCUAUCUUAUGAUCAUGCAAAGCAAUAUGACAAUAAAUGCUCAAGUCAUGUAUAUGAUGAUGAUGGAAGUUGCAUGGCAAUAUAUCUCGGAAUGGCUAUGGAAAUGCCAUGAUAGGUAGGUAUGGUGGCUGUUUUGAGGAAGAUAUAAUGAGGCUUAUGUGUGACAGAGUGUAUCAUAUCACGGGGUUUGGAUGCACCGGCGAAGUUUGCACCAACUCUCUAGGUGAGAAAGGGCAAUGCACAGUACCGAAGAGGCUAGCAAUGAUGGAAGGGUGAGAGUGCGUAUAAUCCAUGGACUCACAUUAGUCAUAAAGAACUCAUAUACUUAUUGCAAAAGUUUAUUAGCCCUCGAAGCAAAGUACUACUACGCAUGCCCCUAGGGGGAUAGAUUGGUAGGAAAAGACCAUCGCUCGUCCCCGACCGCCACUCAUAAGGAAGACAAUCAAUAAAUACCUCAUGCUCCAACUUCGUUACAUAACAGUUCACCGUACGUGCAUGCUACGGGAAUCACAAUCCUCAACACAAGUAUUUCUACAAUCCACAACUACCCACUAGCAUGACUCUAAUAUCACCAUCUUUAUAUCGCAAAACUAUUGCAAGGAAUCAAACAUAUCAUAUUCAGUGAUCUACAAGUUUAUGUAGGAUUUUAUGACUAACCAUGUGAAUGACCAGUUCCUGUCAUCUCUCUAAAUAGAUAUAAGUGAAGCAAGAGAGUUUAAUUCUUUCUACAAAAGAUAUGCCCAUGCUCUAACAAAUAUAAGUGAAGCAAAAGAGCAUUCUACAAAUGGUGGUUUUCUAUGUGAAGAGAAACAGGCAAUCCAAACUUCAAAUCAUAUAAGCGAAGCACAUGAAGCAUUCUAUAAAGCCAUACUCAAAAGAUAUAAGAAGUGCAAAUAGCAUUCUAUAAAUCAACCAAGGACUAUCUCAUACCAGCAUGGUGCAUAAAAGAAAAAUGAAAACUAAAUGCAAAAGACGCUCCAAGAUUGCACAUAUCGCCUGAACGAAACGAAUCCGAAAACAUACCGAUAUUUGUUGAAGAAAGAGGGGAUGCCUUCCGGGGCAUCCCCAAGCAUAGAUGCUUGAGUCUCCUUGAAUAUUUACUUGGGGUGCCUUGGCAACCCCAAGCUUGAGCUCUUGCCUCUCCUUCUUCUCCUCACAUCGAGACACCCUCGAUCAUCGAACACUUCAUCCACACAAAACUUCAACAGAAAACUCGGUAAGAUCCGUUAGUAUAAUAAAGCAAAUCACCACUCUAAGUACUGUUGCAAACCAAUUCAUAUUUUGUUUUUGCAUUGUAGCUACUGUAAUAUAACUUUUUCAUAGCUUAAUCCACUGAUAUAAAUCGAUAGUUUCAUCGAAACAAGCAAACUAUGCAUCAAAAACAGAAUCUGUCUAAAACAGAACAGUCUGUAAUAAUCUGAACAUUCACCAUACUUCUGAUACUUGAAAAAUUCUGCCAAAAUUAGGAAAAAUAAAACAUUUGUAUAGAAAGACAGAGCAAAAGUUGCAGAACUAUUUGACGUUCCAGUAAAAAAUUAAAAAUCGCGCACUACAGCCAAAGUUUCUGUCCUGCACCGCACAAACCAACAAGCAUUUUAAACAUCCUAAAGGCAAACCUUGGCACAUUAUUUUUAUAAUACAAUGGAAUUGUACAAGGGGAUAAUUAUAUUUGUUGAAAAGUUGCUGUAAUCAAGAUUCACAAAGUUUCCGUGAGCAUGAACAAAGUUCAAGGCUAGCUCCCACUUCAACAAUGCUCGUCUUUCUCACUUUCGCUUUUCUUUUUGAAAAAGUUUCGGGUUCCUCUCUUUAUUUUAUUUUGUUUUUAGACUAUAUAAAAGCACUCAACAAAAAUAAAUGACUCUCUAAAACUUCCGGGUUGUCUCCUUAGCAGCGCUUUCUUUAAAGCCAUUAAGCUAGGCAUAUAGUGCUCAAGUAAUGGAUCCACCCGGAUCCCAAGGUAUAUCAAAGCCAAUUUUAAUUAACAAUGAUUUGGCAUUUAGUAGUGAGCACAAAGCAACAUAUAUCAAGCAAUGACGAAGUCUAACUCUCUUCCUAUGCAUCGGCAUGUCAUAAAAGAACAAUUCAUGCACACAUAGUAAAGGCCAAUGCAUAGUAUAAACAGUUUCUUGCAAAUUUAUCAUAUUGGAAACAUGGAGAGGCGGAGAUGUAGUUCCUGUCUCAUAAUAAUUGCAAGUAGAAGCAGCAAGCACAUGCAUAUUAUAUAUAUCAAAAUCAUCAUGUGCAACGGUAAAAGGAAACCCAUCAAUAUAAUCCUUAAUAAGAGCAAACUUCUCCGACAUAGUGUAGUUUGGAGAAUUCAAAAAGAUAAUAGGACUAUCAUGCGUGGGUGCAAUAUCAACAAUUUCAUGUUUAACAUAAGGAACUAUGGCAAGUUCAUCUCCAUAAGCAUAAUUCAUAUUGGCAUCUUGGCCACAAGCAUAGCAAGCAACAUCAAAAAGGGAUAUUUCAAGAGAAUCAACGGGAUCAUAACAAUCAUCAUAGCAUUCAUCCUUCGGUAAGAACGAAGGGAAAUUAAACAGUGUAUGAGUUGAAGAGUUACUCUCAUUAGAAGGUGGCCACGGGUGAUCAAUCGCUCUUCCUCCUUUUGUUCUUCGCUCUCCUCCUCAUCUUUUUCAUCCAAUGAGCUCACAGUUUCAUCAAUUUCUUCUUCCAUAGACUCCUGAAAAAUAUUAGUCUCUUCUUGGACAGCGGAGGAGUCCUCAAUAUAUGGUUUAACAUAGGCAUUAGAAGCAUAAUUAUCAUAAUAAUAUUCAAGUAUGGCAAAAUUUUCAGACUUGUAAAGAGUAGCAUCAUACUUUUCAAUCAAAGAAGCAAUUUCAUAAGCACCCUUAAAAGCAACAAAUUCUUCAAUUUUUGUUGAACAUCACAGUAAUUAUAAACACCCUUAGCAUAAGAAGAUACGAUUCCAUUAUCACUAAACAAACAUUGGUAGGGAAGGUUUUUCUUAGGGUCUUCAGAACAACGAGUAAAAUCAUAUAUUUCACAUAAAUUCCAAGCAUAGCAUUGCAAACGAUGAAUUUGAUCCAGUAAAAGUUUCCCUUUUUCAGAUAUGCGGUGUCGCACAUAACAAGCAUGCUCAUCUAAAGAUUUGCCCUCAACUAAGCUAGUUGGGGUUUCAGCAUGAUCGCAAAGGGAUCGAAGAUGAUCCAAGUAAAAAGCUUUAGGAGUGUGAUAGAUUUUGAGUGGUUCUUCAAAAAUUGGUUCAGUAGGUACAACUAUUUUUUGGUAUUUUGUGUUUCCUAGCCAUAACUAAGGAUAGAAAACAACUAAGAACAGCAAAUAAAAAUUACUUAGUGAUAAAGCAAACAAGCACACACGAGAAUAUUCACCCCACGCUAUCACUCCUCGGCCAACGGCACCAGAAAAAGGUCUUGAUAACCCACAAGUAUAGGGGAUCAAUUGUAGCCUCUUUCGAUAAGUAAAAGUGCCGAACCCAACGAGGAGCUAAAGUUAGAACAAAUAUUCCCUCAAGUUCUAUCGACCACCGAUACAACUCUACGCACGCUUAACGUUUGCUUUACCUAGAACAAGUAUGAAACUAUAAGUACUUUGUAGGUGUUUUUGGAUAAGUUUGCAAGAAUAUAAAGAGCACGUAAAUAAAAACUAGGGGCUGUUUAGAUAAAUAAGCAAUAAAGUUAGUAUAGCGAGUGUGGAAAAGUGGUGGUAGGAGUUGCGAAAUUGUCCCUAAGCAAUUGACUACUUUACUAGACCGAUAGCAAGUUUUAUGUGGGAGAGGCCACUCCUAGCAUGUCAUCUGACUUGGAAUUCUAUGCACUUAUGAUUGGAACUAUUAGCAAGCAUCCGCAACUACUAACGUUCAUUAAGGUAAAACCCAACCAUAGCAUUAAGAUAUAUUGGUCCCCCUUCAAUCCCGUAUGCAUCAAUUUCUAUGCUAGGUUGAAGCUUCUGUCACUCUUGCCCUCCAAUACAUAGUCCUAUCAACAUACAACUAACCCUAUGGUGUGAUCCACACGCGCGCUCAUAUGAUGGGCACCAAGGGACAGCAACAUAACCACAAGCAAAUUAAAUCAAUCAUAGCAAUUCAUCAACCACCGAUAGGACAACGAAAAUCUACUCAGACAUCAUAGGAUGGCAACACAUCAUUGGAUAAUAAUAUGAAGCAUAAAGCACCAUGUUCAAGUAGAGGGUACAGCGGGUUGCGGGAGAGUGGACCGCUGUAGAUAGAGGGGGGAAGGUGAUGGAGAUGUUGGUGAAGAUGGCGGCGGUGUUGGUGAAGAUCGCGGUGAUGAUGAUGAUGGCCACGACGGUGUUCCGCGCCACCGGAAGAGAGGGGGAGAGGGGGCCCCCUUCUUCUUCUUCUUCAUUGACCUCCUCCCUAGAUGGGAGAAGGGUUUCCCCUCUGGUCCUUGGCCUCCAUGGCAUGGGAGGGGCGAGAGCCCCUCCGAGAUUGGAUCUAUCUCUCUGUCUCUCUCUGUUUCUGCGUUCUGGAUUCUGCCCUUUCACCCUUUCUUUUAUAACCGGAGAUCCGUAGCUCCGAUUGGGCUGAAUUUUGGACACGAUCUAUAUCCGGAAAUUAGCUUUCUUGCGGCGAAAUAAGGGCUCCAACCGCCUUACGGGGUGGCCACGAGGGUCCAGGGCGCGCCUGACCCCCUGGGGGGCGCCCCCUGCCUCGUGGCCCCCUCGGGCAUCGUAUCGCGUUGAUUCUUCUUCCCAAAAAUCACAAAUAUUCCAAAAAAACUCCGUCAGUUUUUAUCCCGUUUGGACUCCGUUUGAUAUGGAUUUUCUGCGAAACAAAACACAUGCAACAAAUAGGAACUGGCACUGGGCACUCGAUCAAUAUGUUAGUCCCGAAAAUAGUAUAAAAAGUUGCCAAAAGUAUAUGAAAGUUGUAGAAUAUUGGCAUGGAACAAUAAAAAAUUAUAGAUACGACGGAGACGUAUCAACAGGCUAGACUUCUAGGGUUUAGCCAUUACGAUCUCGUGGUAGAUCAACUCUUGUAAUACUCAUAUUCAUCAAGAUCAAUCAAGCAGGAAGUAGGGUAUUACCCCCAUAGAGAGGGUCCGAACGUGGGUAAACAUUGUGUCCCCUGUCUCCUGUUACCAUCGACCUUAGACGCACAGUUCGGGACCCCCUACCCGAGAUCCGCCGGUUUUGACACCAACAUUGGUGCUUUCAUUGAGAGUUCCACUGUGCCGUCCUCAAGAGAUUUGAUGGCCCCUUCAAUCAUCAAAAACGAUGCCGUCCAGGGAGAAACCUUCCUCCCCGAACAGAUCUUCGUGUUCGACGGCUUCGCACUGCGGGCCAACUCGCUUGGCCAUCUAAAGCAGAUCGACAGCUAUGCCCCUGGCCACCAGGUCAGAUUUGGGAGCUUGAACUACGUCGCGGACAUCCGUGGAGAUUUGAUCUUCGCUGGAUUCGAGACCGCGGCAACCGCUCCUGGUCACCUUGAUGAACAUGACCUAAAUCUGUCGCCAGACCGCAUCCAGGAGAUAGCUCCUGUAACUGCUCUGGCCUUAGAUCCGGAGCAUACUGCGCCAUCCAAGGAUUGGAGGUUCAACCCCACCACGGAGGCCACAGAUUCAACGGCGUUGGAGCCGCACAUGGACUUAACCUCACACAAUAUUUGUGUCACCGGAACUCCGGACUCGUCUCUGGGUGUAAGUUCUAAACCAUGUGAGUCCGCAGAUGCCAAACUUGAUCGUUUAUCGAUCUUCGAGUUCAGCGCCGCAGACAUCUUCCAGCACUCGCCCUUGGGCGAUGUGCUAAACUCAUUAAAGAGCUUGUCCUUGGCGGGGUACUCACAGCCGAACUAUGUUCGGUUCGAGCUAGGGGCUGCUGGUGGAGAAUCUUGCUUCCCACCCGCCACCCACUUCAUAGCCACAGUCAAGGAUUUAACCGACACGCAUGAUUACGACUCUGAAGACAUUGAUGGUAUGGACGACGAUGCUGAUGAGGAGCAAAAUCAAAGUCCUCCAUCCACUCGACGCUGGACGGCCACUUCUCCGUAUGAUGUGUACAUGGUGGACACACCCAAAACAACCAACGACGGUGACAAAGAAAAUCCAGUUGAGAAUAAACCUCCUGAGACACAGCAAAAACGCCGGUACCCUCAGCGCCGCUCUAAGGCACGUCGUUCAAGAGACAACAAUGCUGGCACCGGAGAAAAUAAUACUCCGGAUUACGCCGAAAACAAUGAAGACCCUGCUGAGGUAACAUCCGAACAGGAGGAGCAAGAAAACGGGCAAGCUAGCCCAGACGAACUGGCCAGGCCCAAUGACUCGGAGGACGGUAGUUAUCGUCCGCUCUCUGAGGAUGAGGAAAGCCUCGGCAACGAAGAUUUUAUCAUGCCUGAGGAACCUCUCGAGCAGGAGCGCUUCAAGCGCCAGCUAAUAGCCACCGCAAGGAGCCUGAAAAAGAAGCAGCAGCAGCUUCAAGCUGACCAAGAUCUGCUCGUCGAUAGAUGGACUGAUGUCCUGGCAGCCAAAGAAUACGGCCUCAGACGCCCAACCAAGAGUUACCCGAAGCGAAGGUUGCUACCUCAGUUCGACGAAGAGGCGCCAGAGCCCAUACCUCCCUCGCGUAAUGCGGUCGGGACAGUGCGGCGGACCGUCCACCACGUGGUCGGGAUAGAGCGGCAACUCAGGCCGAACAGCAGCCUGCCCCACCGCCACGUAAAAAUAGAGACAAAACAGUUCGGGGUCAUACAUACGACCUCCGGCAAACCCAGGAUAGCAGAGCCGGAUACACCCGAUUGAUUUAUGGAUCGCGGGGACGUUCUUCGACACGUGAUGAUGGCUACCUAUUCGAACGUGACAAACCUAGUCACGCCCGGGCCGACAACCGUAGACGGACUCCAUCGGAGCUACGCCGCGACGCGGCCCGAUAUAGAGGCGCCGCACGCCCUCUUUGCUUCACUGAUGAAGUAAUGGAUCACGAAUUCCCCGAAGGGUUCAAACCCGUCAAUAUUGAAUCAUAUGACGGAACAACCGAUCCCGCGGUGUGGAUCAAAGAUUUUAUUCUCCACAUCCACAUGGCCCGUGGAGAUGACCUCCACGCUAUCAAAUACCUCCCACUAAAGCUCAAAGGGCCAGCUCGGCACUGGUUAAAUAGCCUGCCUGAAAACUCUAUCGGCAGCUGGGAGGACUUGGAAGAAGCCUUCCUUGACAACUUCCAAGGUACAUAUGUCCGGCCACCAGACGCCAAUGAUUUAAGCCACAUAGUCCAACAACCUGGAGAGCCAGCCAGGAAAUUUUGGACUAGGUUCCUAACCAAAAAGAACCAGAUCAUCGACUGUCCGGAUGCCGAAGCCCUAGCGGCCUUUAAACAUAGCAUCCGCGACGAAUGGCUCGCCCGCCACCUCGGCCAAGAAAAGCCGAAAUCUAUGGCAGCCCUCACGGCACUCAUGACCCGCUUUUGUGCGGGUGAGGAUAGCUGGUUGGCUUGUAGCAAAAACACAGCCAGCGAGGCAGGCCCCUCUGAGGUCAAAAACAGCAAUGGCAAGCUCCGACGCAACAAACACAAACGCCGAAGCAAUGGCGACAACACCGAUGACACUGCUGUUAAUGCCGGAUUCAGCGGCUCCAAGUCCGGUCAGCGGAAAAAGCCGUAUAAAAGAAACAAUCAGGGACCAUCCAGCAUAGACCGCAUACUUGACCGUCCAUGCCAAAUCCAUGGCACCCCAGACAAACCAGCCAACCAUACCAACAAAGAUUGCUGGGUUUUUAAGCAAGCCGGCAAGUUAAAUGCCGAGAACAAGGAAAAGGGAUCGCAGAGCGAGGACGAUGACGAGGAGCCCGUGUAGCCAAACACAGGGGGACAGAAGAAGUUUCCCCCUCAGGUCAAAACGGUGAACAUGAUAUAUGCUACACACAUCCCCAAGAGGGAGCGCAAGCGCGCACUUAGGGACGUCUAUGCGAUAGAGCCAGUCACCCCAAAAUUCAAUCCAUGGUCAUCGUGCGCGAUCACUUUUGAUCGUCGGGAUCAUCCGACCAGUAUCCGGCAUGGCGGAUCAGCCGCACUAGUCCUAGACCCAAUCAUUGAUGGAUUCCACCUGACGCGAGUCCUCAUGGAUGGUGGCAGCAGCCUCAAUCUGCUCUAUCAGGAUACAGUGCACAAAAUGGGCAUUAACCCAUCACGCAUCAAGCCCACAAGGACUACCUUUAAAGGAGUCAUACCAGGCGUAGAGGCCCGCUGUACAGGCUCAAUCACACUAGAGGUCGUCUUCGGAUCUCCGGACAACUUCCGAAGCGAGGAGUUAAUCUUCGACAUCGUCCCCUUUCGCAAUGGCUAUCACGCACUGCUUGGACGAACCGCAUUUGCCCGAUUCAAUGCGGUACCUCACUAUGCUUAUCUCAAGCUCAAGAUGCCCGGACCACGUGGCAUCAUAACAGUCAAUGGAAAUACGGAACGCUCCCUCCGUACCGAGGAGCAUACCACGGCCUUAGCAGCAGAAGUACAGCGUGGCCUUUUCCAGCAAAACCUUAAUUCGGCGGUCGAGCCCUCGGAAACCAUUAAGAGAGCCCGGACUAUUCUGCAGCAAGACAGCCCCGCUCGUCAAGAGCUUAACAACCAAUUUGGCCUCCGUCCCAGUCCCAAUCAAAUGGCGGCAUUCGUACCGCGCGUACAUAACUACGCACUCAAAAUUCCAUGGCCAUCGAUGGAGGCAUAGCUAGCUCGUGAUCCACAGUGCAGCUCGACCGACCCUGGAUCCGCACACCUUCACUUUUUCUUUUUCAUUUCAGGUUUUUCUCUUCUUGAGGCUUUUUCUAAAUAACCUGAUCAUCGGAUCGAUCAUGGGACGGAUACACUAAGGAGGCAAGGAGCUUUGACGUACAAGGGAAUCCCCAGGUGGUCUCUGCUAACGAUUGCUAUACCUGUUUCACUACAGGAAUCAGCUAUUUUGCCGUCUGCCACGGCAGACGGCAAAAGGCUCCGGCAAAGUAGGCUACGGUAAACAGCUACUUUGCCGUCUGCUUCCUGGCGGCUGACGGCAAAGGCCCUUUGCCGUCUGCCGCGGAUGGCAAAGAGGCGGACGGCAAUAAUUGUGCUCUCAGUCCGUUAAGUGGCUAACGGCAGGCCUUUGUCGUCCGCCGCGGACGGCAAACUUUCUAGUGCCUUUGCCGUCUGCCAUAUGAUGUCACCUACACGUCACUACAUGGCAGGCCUUUGUCGUCCGCCACUGACGGCAAACUCUUUGCCGUCUGCCACUGUAGGCAAACUGACCAAAUGGGUCAGCUCCCAGGAAGCACAGCUGGAUGCCACCCGGCUUCUUUGCCGUCCGCGGCAGACGUCAAAGGGCCCGUUGCCGUCGGUGGCAGACGGCAAAGAGCCUGCAUAUUGGGUCUUUUUUCUGUUUUUUAUUAAAUCCAACAAUUUUCACAGAAAAUAUAUAUGGCAUAUAUAGAUAUAUUUCACAAGGCAGAGUUCCAUCACAUAAGAUAUAUAUGACAACAAUUUUCACAGCAAACAUAUAAGAUAUCCAACAUGCAUAGUUCCAUCACAUAACUUCAUCACAUAUGCUCCAUCCAACUACCAAGUUCCAUCAUACAUAGCAUAGUUCAUCCAACUACCAAGAUACAUGCAUAGUUCAACGAUACAAAAGAAACAGAGAAAGGGAUAAGGAGCACUCCAUCUAUGCAAGCUUUCGUCAAGUGAAUGAAAUCUGCAAAAUGAAAAAUAAGAAAGUUAGAAAUAGGUGACUAGAAUAAGAAGAGUAGAACAAGAAGAGUAGAACAAGAAGAAGACUAGAACAAGAAGAGUAGAACAAGAAGAAGACUAGAACAAGAAGAGUAUGUCAUUUAUGAGCUAACUUACGUGAAAUGGAUCAUACAUGAGCUAACUAAGUUGAAAUGGGUCGUUUAUGAGCUAGCUAAGGUGAAAUGGAUCAUUUAUGAGCUAACUUAGUUGAAAUGGGUCGUUUAUGAGCUAACUAAGGUCAAAUGGAUCGUUUUUUAGGUAACUAAGGUGAAAUGGAUCAUUUUUAGCUAACUAAGGUGAAAUGGAUUGUUUUUGAGCUAACUUAGGUGGAAUGGAUCAUUUAUGAGCUAAUUUAGUUGAAAUGGAUCUUUUUGAGCUAACUUAGGUGAAAUGGAUCAUUUAAGAGCUAAUUUAGGUGAAAUGGAUCGUUUUUUAGCUAACUUGGUGAAAUGGAUCGUUUAUGAGCUAAAUUAGUUGAAAUGGAUCGUUUAUGAGAUAACCUAGGUAAGAUGGGUCAUUUUGGAGUUAACCUAGUUGAAAUGGGUCAUUUUAAAGCUAACGUAGGUAAAAUGGAUCAUUUAGGAGCUAAUCUAGGUAAAAUGGGUCAUUUUUGAGCUAACUUGGAUGAACUGGAUCAUUUAUAAGCUAACCUAGGUAAAAUGGGUCAUUUUAGAGCUAACUUAAGUAAAAUGGAUCGUCUAUGAGCUAACUAAGCUAAUUAAAGCUAAGUCUAGGUCUUUAUGCAUGUGUUAAGCAAAACACUAGAUAAACUUACCAAGAUCCAGGAGGUGUAGGAGCGGGGUGGCUCGUGUCGGUAGCUGGAGAAGGAUCGUGCGAUGCUUGUCUGGAGUUACGCUGCACCAAAGAUCAUUUCCAAUGUCUUGUUAGCAUGAUGACACUCAAAUGUUAAGACUAGCAAGUAAUGUCCAUUCAAAUAAAACUCACCGUGGUCCCAGGAGCAAUCACUGGCAUCGGCGGAGCGGUCUGACCUGUCUUCUCGCACACAGACUGCACAUUUGGUUUCGACGACUCAGUCAUACUAGUUAGUAAUGAGACAAACACUACAUGAAUGUUUUGGCUAAUCUGCAGAAGAAACUUACCACAAGGAGCUCGUACAUGGCCCUUGCCUGCAUGUCAUUCCGUGCCCUCUCCUCCUCCAUCAUCUUUGUCGUCCUCUCCUCCAACUCCCGCUGCCUCUCCACUGCCUCCGCCAGAAGUUUCUCCGUUCUCUCUCUCUCACUCUGUAUAGCAGCCUGCAACACCACUCACAUGACCAUUUGUAAUCAUUGAUGGAAGCGCACACAAUGUAAUGGAGAAAGAUAACUGAGUACGUAUCACUAACCUUGAUGGCGAGUUGCACUGGCCGUUCACGAGGCCUUAUCUCAGGAGCGGAGCUCGUCUGGCGCGCGUUGAUCUCCGGGAGAGUGCUAGGACAACGGAUAAGUCCAUCUCCAAUGGCUAUGGAUCCAUGGGACCUCCCGCCACCAGAUAUCAUCACCAGCUUUGGAUCAAUGGGACCCUGGCUCGGGUUAAAGUCCUCCCCUUUCCUCGCCUUCCCCUCAUCUCUAUAUCUAACGAGCUUGUUGUGGGAGGAGAUGUUGGUGAAGUUGUUUGCAUCAUCGAGGUCAGACUGAGAGAAAGCCUUGACUUUCUUGAAAGAGGCAGUGUGGGCCAUGGCAUACAGGUCGUACACCUCUGGCACCUUAUCCACCUUAUUGUGGCGUGCCUGAAAGAGAGAAACAAUGAAAAUUAGUAAUUAAAGGGCUCAAGCUAGCAUGAUGAAUGAAUUGCAUGAAUCGUGAAGCAAACCACAUACCCAGUUGCGCCUGAACUGAUAUAAGUUGGAGCUGCCUUGAUGGUGUGGCACACCUUCCAUUUGGGCACGUUUGUCCUUGGCCUCGUUGUGGAGGGCUAGCCAUUCUUUUGAGCACCACUCAUCGACCAACACCUCCCAACAAUCCAUCCGAUCCGCACACCAUAUCGGAGGCGCCUAAGUUAGCAAAUAGAAACUUGAGCGCUACGGCUAAGAAUUACUAAAUGAAGGAACUUAAGUAGAAGGCCUUAAGAAUUACCUUCAUGUACUGCUCCUUACUCAGGAACUUAUCGCAGCACGCCGGCUUGGUCUUCUUGAUACCACGCAAGGCGUAGUAGUCUCGAACAGCCUGCACCCGAGCCUCGUGCCGUAAGUUCUGGAGUAGGCGCUUGCAGACGUUCUCGAUAACAUGUGCCGCGUCCUCCUCGUAUCCCUCCUCACACCUGUAGAAUGUCUGCAAUCAAAUGAGACAAUAUUGAUUAGUACAAUUAAUAACUAGCUAGUUGAAGAUUUUUAAAUGUGUAAAGGAGAAAUUACCCAGAACUUUCUGAUCACCAUGUCUGCCCUCGUGUCGCACAUGACACCGUCGAUAAUCUCAUCCGGCGGGGCCGGGCAGCCACGUAGUGCUCCCAGCUCAAUCCAAGCUCUGGAAGCCGACCCUCACCAGGCAACGUGACAAACCCCGGGAAGUUUUGCCGGCAAAGAACUCCAAGGACGGAGUUGGGCCGGCGGACACUAUGAUGGUGGUCCCAACCCCUGCAGCAUGACAAGGCCAACGCAUUAGUUAUUUGAAGAAACGUGAAUGCACAAGGUACAAAAAUAUUAAAUGCACUUACGUACCUCUCCCCAUCAGGGAAAAUCAACCACCUCUGCUCGCGGGUCGCCGACACGGACGGGAGCCGUGUAGCACCACGCUGGUAGACGGUGCCCCCCUCCUCCUCAAGAUCAGUCGGCUCCCCGCCAUCAUCAGCAUGGCCACUCGGCUCCUCGGGCUGAUCCGGCCAGGUACCCCAUCCGGACGUGUGCUCCUCCGGGGUCUCGUGGGCCGAAGGCCAGUCGACCCGAGGCUCCUGGGCCGAAGACCCGUGGACCGGAGGCUCGUGGACCGGAGUCCAUGUAGCCUCCUCCUCGGACGAGUCCACCCUAGCAGUCACGUGCUCGGGUGAAACAGCUGGGGGUGGCGGCGAGGAAGGCGCCGUAGCAGUCACCCUACCUCCUCUCCCGCGACCACAUGCCCCACCUCCUCUCUUCCUACCUCGUCCCCUGCUGGGCACCGCGGUCGACGAAGAAGGGCCCGGCGGUGUGGCCAUACUGUCCAGCAACGCUCGGCGGAGAGGUGCGUCUGGAAUGGAAGACCUCAGACCACGCGCCGACGAAGAAGGGGCCUUGGCGCGCUCCCGACGAGCGCCCACCAUCUUUCAACACCUGCCAUGACAAACAGUAAACGAAAUUAGUACAACAUAAAAAAAG
rnacentral:lncRNA from 1 species